GUUUGAGGUGUGGAUGUGGUUUGCCUCCGCCGGUAAUUGCGUUCACGGCUGGCCAUCUGGGUAUCUAAUGAUUCCACCUGAAUUGUUGCAGUGUUUCUACGCACGCACCGGCAAAGUCCGUGGUGUGGGACUAAAGAUGGCAAAACAAAAGAUAGGUGGUAAUUGCUUUCCUAUUUUUAACAAGAAGCUGGACCGCCAGCCACUUUCCACCACCAAUUUGUUUUGCUAUAAACAUACCUGGUCUUCCUCCCAUGCCAUCUGAACCUCGUCCAUUUCACAGCAUUGUUGUCUGCGGAGGGAGGCAUCGUUGCUUCGAAGCCUCCUUCCGCGCAACUCCGGCUCCGGUCAAUCAUGGCACUGCCAUACACCACCCUUGCUCUUAUCUUCCUCGCCAUCGUCGCCACGGCCCUCAGUAGGGCUACCUUCGCCGAGGCCAAUGGGGAAGUAAGCAAGAAACAUGAUGCCAAUGCCAAUGCCAAUGCCACUGCUCCUGCAAAUCCAGCUCCAGCAGGUCAUCAUGUCGAGGCCUCCGGAAAUCAAGCGGCCAAUGGCGUUAAUGUCGGUGCUCCGGCAGGCUCCGUCAUCAAAGGCCAUCAUCCGCCAGGCAAAGGCCAUCACAAGAAGGGCGGCCAUCGCAAGAAAGGUGGCCACCGCAAGAAGGACGGCUAUCCUGCUGGUGCCCCUGCAGAUGCUCCUGCAAGUCCGGUGAGCGCGGCUCAGCCUGCCAGCGCUCCUGCAAGUCCAGUGACCGCACGUCAACCUGCCCAAGCCCCUGCAGCACCUCCUUCGACUGCAACUCCUCCUACCGGUGGUCGCGUUCAGAUACCGCCGGAGCUGAAGAAUCUACUGCCUAGCCUCCCACCAAGCGCCGAGCCUCAAGAGAUUAAGGAGCUCAUAAGCAAGGCCACCGGAGUGGAUCCAUCUAAAAUCCCAGAAAUCACUGAUCCUAAACAGAUCGAGGAUAUCAUAACCCAGGCCGCUGGGGUGAAGCCAUCUGAUGCUUUGGCUGCCUUUCAAGAGUCUGGUGGUCUGGAAGCCAUACUAACAACUGGGGCACUUUCACCGAGCCGUAAUGCUGAAGUAGCAGGAACCCCUUCCUCCACCAAAGAAGCAAGUGGUGCCUUCACCAUCGGAGCAACCCCCAUGGCUAUUGCCUUAAUGGCCGCAGUGGCUGCUGGGAGCUUCAUCUUCUGAGCGAGUUGUAAUUAGAAGAUGCUCGCUCUCCCUGCCUCCCUCCCUCUCUCUCUCUCUCUCUCCUUACAUGUUGCAACUGCAACUUAUCUAGAGCAUCAUUCACAUUAUGCACUUUUAUUGUCUAGAUACUGACAAUGACGUGAUAGAGGAGGGCAGGUUUCUUCCGAUAUCAAGCUUGAUUAAUCUUGGAGGUUAAAAAAGUCGGGAGCCAUUCUGCAUUUGAAUCCAAAUGAGAUCCCAAGAAUGUGUUGGUCCUUUAUCCUACCUGCUUAUGGCACCCUUUUUGUGUAACAUUCAUCAGAUGCUCGGACCAAAAAAAGGCCUUGGCCGAAGUUGUAACAACGGAUUUCAUGGAGAAUGUGAAAAGUUUUGCUUUCGAGUUCUGGAUUGGCUGGUCAUGUUUGUUAUAAGUACUUCUCUUUUCAAUAUUUAUGAAAAUAUUCUACAUGGUUAUUAAUUAUUGUUGAAGUUCCAAUUUGCUUUUCAAUAGAUGAACCCUUUUUGUGUUCUUAUUUUUUAACGUUAUUAUUAGAGUCGCAUAUCAGUCCUUUAACUUAUUUUUAAAGAUUUUUUGUGUUUUGUUAACAUGCUCCUGUCAAUUUUAAGUUAGCCAAUUGUGAAUUCGGAUUUAUCUCUCGUCACAUUUCCCUGCUUACUACCCAAAGAUUUUUUUUUCCCUUUUCUGAUGUAUGGGAGGCAAAAGCUGCCUGAAUUUAUUAAAAAAUAAUAAAAUAGUCGAAGACGUCAAUAAGAAUUAUAGAGGGAAUACAAGGACAGGAGAAAAGAGAAAGCAAAAAAUGGUCAAAAAAACAGGUAGGCUUAAAAUGGAGCCGACCACCGGUUGCACACCGUUCACAAUCCAUCUGCUUGCAAUAGAUUGUCCAACCAUUAAGUAAUUUGAUUAAGGCAGCAAGCAAUUGAUGAACUGAUGAUGCUUUGUUAAGUAACAUAAUGGAGUUCCUCCAUUUAUAACAAACUGAUGGGGAGAAAAGUGGACCACCCCACAAAAUACAAUUAAAGCACCUAAAUAUUACAAUAGGCGUAAUCCCAAUAAGCAUGGUAUCAACAAGCACGAUAUCAACAAGCACGACUUCGGCAGGCACGACCUCGGCAAGCAUGACCUCGGCAGGAACAACCUCGGCAUGCAUGGUCUUGGCUAAGCAAAGCCCGAUUGACCUCGGGCCAUCCCCGACUCCACCAACAAUCAAGCCAGUCCGCCUAAAAAAAGGACCAUCAAAUCCUCCAUAUCCGGGAUCAAAUCCGCAAUCUCCGCCACAAUGGCUGUCAAUAUUUGAAUCCACGCAAUCUCAACCGAUCGCCAGCUAGCCUGAAAUCUCGGCCAUCAAAGGUAACUAAUUUAAACCCAUAUUUACACAAUCACACUCGAUUGUGUGUAACCGUUACACCCCCUCCUAUAAAAAGGGGGAAACUUUAGGGUGAUCAUCUUCUCCCCGGGCCAAAAAACACCUCUCCAUUAUCUCCUUUAUCUCCAAACCCUCUCUGACUUAAGCAUCGGAGGGCCUUCGCCGGAACCUUCGGCCAAAGGCUUUUUACAGGUCCGCCGGAGACAGCUGUCCGCUACUGCACUGCAGCAGAAGCUCCUCCUCCUCGGCUCGCGAUCACCUCCGGGUCUAUUUUCCAGCAACAGUUGGCGCUAGAGGAAGGGCCUGAGUCAUGAUCAUGAGACUAAGGAGCAGAGGGGCUACAAUGCCUCCAGGCAUCGCGCACCAAGCCUUGGACGCUCGAUCCAGAAUCCACCACCAAGACCUCCGGCAGAUCAAGUUCCGCAAAUCAAAUCUGAAUAGUUCGAUGUGCUGGUGCAGCAAGUCCAAGCGCUAGCUACUACAGUCCAAAGUCUACCACAAGUGGGGGGCCCUCUUGUGCCGCCUCCACGAGCUCACAUCUGAUCGGCGCUCCCUCCAGAUGGGCCUGUGUCCCUAGGCCAUGAUCCCCAUGGUUUUUCAAGGAUCAAUAAUGGAAAAAAAAGGCGCUGUCACCAGGGUUCUUCCGAGCAUCCCCCCGGGGGGAGCUGCCGAAGAGUCGCCAGGACAGGAGGGCGCAACCUUCUGAAGCUGGAUCGAUCCCGGGUCAGUCAGUACCGGGACGGACCACCACGACAACUUUCCAAGGUGGAGAACUCGACAAGAAGGUCGAAGAGCUCGAACGGCAAAUCGAGGCGCUCCGGGAUCAAAGAGUAAGGCGUGAGGGCAACCCUGAUUUUACCACCAAGUCGUCUUUCGCCUGCUUGAUCGAGGACAAGCCAAUCCCACUGAGAUUCAAGAUGCCCCAGAUAGAGCCAUACAACGGGGCAACCAAUCCACUGGAUCAUCUAGAGAGUUACAGAGCCCUCAUGGCACUGUAAGGAUCCUUGGAGGCUCUACUAUGCAAGGCCUUCCCCACAACCCUCCAAGAAACGGCCUGACUUUGGUUCUCCGAGCUAAAGCCAAGCACCGUGUUCUCUUUUGAGCAGCUCGGCGGGCAAUUUAUAGCCAAUUUUGCCACCAGCCAGCACUAGCGGCGAACAUUAGAUUCUUUUCUCGACAUCAAGCAAAAGGAAGAAGAAUCCUUGAAAGACUACAUCGAUCGCUUCACCGCCGCCACUUAGGAGGUCCGCAAGCUCGAUCAAUCAAUCGUCAUGUCGGUAUUAAAGAUAGAAGUUCGGUCCUAUAAGUUUCUCUUCUCUAUUGAGACGAAUUUUUUUUACCGACUUUACAGAUAUGCUGGCCCAAGGUCGAAAAUACGCAAAGGCUGAAGAGGCCAUGGCUGCUCGGCGAGACGCUGCUGAACGACCCUCAAAGGGCCAGAAGAGGCAUCCCGAGGAACGCAGCCGCCCAAGAAAUCGCUCACCUCGUCGCGAGAAGAACUUGCCUCGAUUGAGGAGCCCGUCUCGUCCGAGGCUGCGGCCCUGACCAAGAUCACCGCCUCGGUAGAGAACACCACCAGGAAGGUACAGGACUAUACUUUCUCCACCACUACUCGGUCCAAGAUUCUCAUAGAGAUAGAAGGUCGAGGCUAUCUCUGAACUCCACCACUAAUGCGAGGGUCGGAAGCUCGGCAACACUUUAGGAGGUACUACCACUUCCAUCGAGAUCACGACCACGACAUAGAGGAGUGCUUCCAACUCCGAGACGAGAUUAAGCGCUUAUCCAUCGUGGGAUACUCAACCGGUUCGUACAGAACUGGCAUGAUGAAGGAGCACCAGUGGAGAACGCCGCGCCACCUGAAGAUCAAAACAAUAGCAGACCCAUUGCCGGCACCAUCAACGCUAUAGAAUGAGGCCCUGCCGAAGAAAGCUCGGCUAAAGAACCUGCUAGGAAAGAAGCCCUCCUGAAGCAUCAACGCACAACAGAAGCCAUCUUAUUCUCGGAUGAAGAUUUAAAAGGAGUCGAAACUUCUCAUGAUGAUGUUGUGGUCAUCUCCCUUAUCAUGAAUAAGUUUGUUGUAAAACGUGUUCUGGUUGAUAAUCGAAGCUCUGCAAACGUAUUAUUCUACGAUACUUUCCAAAAAAUAAGAAUGACUAAGGACCAGCUUCGGAGAAUGAAUGUUCCAUUGGUCGGAUUCACUGGGAAUUUAGUCCCAGUCAAAGGAGUAGUCAGCCUACCCAUCACGGUCGGGCUCGCCCCUAGAGAGAGUACCGUGAAGAUGGACUUCCUAGUGGUCCGUAUGGCCUCGGUCUACAAUGUUAUUCUCAGCCGACCUGGGCUCAACGCCUUCUGGGCCAUAGUCUCAACCUACCACCUGCUCAUGCGGUUCCCCACCAAACGAGGGGUUGGCGAAGUUCAAGGGGACCAAGCAAUGCUACAUAGCGACCCUCAAAGCAAAACAACCAGCUGAAACGUCAGCCCAAGUUCCGCCCUUUGCACUACUUAUCAAGACCCUGGAAGUGCGGGACGAGCCCAAGAAGCAACGAGCAGAGCCCGGGGAGCUCCUACUUCAAAUCUCCUUUAGAGAUGACCGCCCGAAUUAGACUGUACAGAUCGGUUCCUGCCUAAGCCCUCGUGAAUGAGACCGCAUGAUCGAAUUUCUCCAAGCCAACACCGACGUUUUCGCCUGGUUGCCUACUGAUAUGCCAGGGAUAGAUCCUAAAGUUAUGGUUCACCGACUCCAGGUGAACCCAACUUACAAGCUCGUCAGGCAGAAAAAAUGGAGCUUCGCACCAAAACGACAGCAAGCGGCGACCGAGGAGGUGGACAAACUCCUCGAUGCUGGCUUUAUUAGAGAGGUCACCUAUCCGGACUAGCUCACCAACAUGAUCUUUGUGAAGAAAGCUAACGAAAAAUGGCGCAUAUGUGUGGACUACACCGACCUGAACAAGGCAUGCUCGAAAGACAGCUUUCCAUUCUCCAGGAUCAACCAGCUCGUUGAUUCUACCUCGGGACACCAACUGCUGACCUUCAUGGAUGCCUUCUUGAGGUACAAUCAGAUCCGGAUUGUGCCCAAAGAUGAGAAAAAUACAGCCUUUGUCACUGACAAAGAUCUCUAUUGCUACAAGUGAUGCCAUUCGGGUUGAAGAACGCUGGGGCAACUUACCAAAUGCUGGUCAACAAAGUCUUCAAGAAUCAGAUAGGCCGGAAUAUGGAGGUCUAUGUGGACGACAUGUUGGUAAAAAGUCAGAUGGCCGAACAUCACAUAGCUGACCUCUACGAAGCAUUCUCCACUCUCAGAAAGUAUCAGAUGAAGCUCAACCCCAUGAAAUGUGCCUUUGGAGUCAUCUCGGGCAAGUUCCUCGAUUUCGUGGUAACUCAAUGCAGAAUCGAAGCAAACCUAGAAAAGAUCCGAUCACCGCAGGAGAUGGCACCACCAAGGAUGGUGAAAGAAGUACAACGGCUCACUGGACGAGUUGCGACCUUGGGAAGGUUUGUCUCGAGGUCGACAGAGUGAUGCCUCCCAUUCUUCAAGAUUCUCAAACGGCCAAAAAACUUCGCUUAGACUAAAGAGUGCCAGCAAGCCUUCGAAGAACUCAAGUCUCAUCUCGCCUCUCCUCUAUUGCUCACAAAAUCUUAGCAGGGCGAGCUUGUCUACCUGUACCUUGCUGUGUCCCCCGUAGCAAUGAGCUCGGUCCUAGUUCGGGAAGAAGACAAGUCCCAGAAAUCGAUAUACUACACCAGUCAAAUCCUGCGGGAUGCAGAGACCCGAUACUCCAAAUUGGAGAAAACAGUCUACGCCCUACUCAUCUUGGCCCGAAGGCUCUGAUCAUAUUUUCAGGCUCAUACCGUGGCCGUAUUAACUGAUCAGCCCAUAAAAUAAGUUCUACAAUGAUCGAAUCGUGCGGGAAGAAUCGUAAGAUGGGCAGUCGAGCUCGAAAAAUUCGACCUCGAAUACCACCUGAGGCCAGCAAUCAAAGCACAAGUGCUUGCGGACUUCAUAGAGGAAUGCACCCUACAAGAUGACCCCAGACCGAGCUCACACCGAAGGAAGACACCUCAGAGCGGCUAUGGGUCCUACAUGUGGACGGUUCCUCAAUCUCGGAAGGUAGUGGGGCAGGCCUCAUUCUCACCAGUCCGAAUGGAGUGGUCACGGAGCAAGCCUUACGCCUCGAGUUUCCGACCUCGAACAAUGAAGCGGAGUACGAGGUGCUCAUUACCGGACUGAAAUUAGCGAAAGAGCUCGAGGUCGGCAGCCUAAAAGUCUUCAGUGAUUUCCAACUGGUCGUGAGCCAAAUCUUACGAGACUACGAAGCAAGGAAGCCAUCAAUGCAAAAGUAUCUACAGAAGGUGCAGGAUAUCACCUCCACGCUAAAUAUUUUCGACAUUCAGCACAUUUUCAGAACAGAGAAUGCGAGGGCUGACCUGCUAUCAAAGCUAGCAACCUCCCACAUGAGAGCUCUCGAGGACUACAAUACUCGAGUAUCUUCAAACACCAAGCAUUGAGGAGCCCGAGUCCGUCCUCUGCAUCGAGACUGAACCGAGUUGGAUAGAUCCGCUUGUCAACUUCCUACAGAAUGAAGUUCUUCCCAAUGAUGAGCUCGAGGCCCGCCGAGUCAAGCGCCAAGCUUUCCGAUACCUCCUAUAUGAAGGCAAGUUCUACCGCAUGUCCUUCACGUCUCCUCUUCUUAGAUGCCUCCGCCCCUCGAAGGUGAAUUAUGUCAUGCGAGAAGUUCAUGAGGAGAUUUGCGGGAACCACCAAGAAGUCGAGCCUUGGCCUACAACAUUCUAUGCUAGGGAUACUACUAGCCUACACUUCAAAAAGACACCGCAAGCUUUGUUCAAAGGUGUGACCGAUGCCAGAAGAAUGCUAACAUUCAGCGCCGACCCUCAGUCCACUGACCUCGAUCAGUGCCCCCUGACCAUUUGCCCAAUGGAGGAUCGACAUCUUGGGACCAUUCCCCCAAGCUACCGAACAAAGGAAGUUUCUCAUCAUCUCCAUCAAUUAUUUCACUAAGUGGGUUUGGGCGCCCCUGCGUUCUUAUAUCCGACAACGACCGUCAGUUCGACAAUGCCCGCUUCAGAAAAUUUUGCUCCAAGCUCAGCAUCGACCAUCAUUUCACCUCGGUCGUUCAUCCCCAGACUAAUGGAGAAACAGAGGUAACAAAUCGAACAAUCCUUCAAGGACUUAAAGCCAGACUCGACUGAUCUAAAGGGAAAUGGGUCGAAGACCUUUACAAUGUCCUCUAGGCUUACAAAACCACAUUCUGAAUCCCUACUGGUGAAACUCCAUUCAAUCUAGCCUAUGGAACAGAAGCAGUCAUCCCCUUGGAGAUAGGGCUUCCAUCACGAAGGGUGAAGACCUACGAUGCAGCUUCGAAUUCACCGUGACUCAGAAACAACCUAGAUCUCCUCGAAGAAACAAGGUAAGCCGCUCGAAUCCGCACGGCGAGAUAUUACAACUUUAGAGUGAAGAUCAGGCUCUUCAAAGUGGGUGAUCUCGUCCUGAGAAAAGCCGAAGCCUCUCGACCUACGGAGCAAGGGAACCUUGCCCCAAAUUGGGAAGGACCGUAUCGAGUCGCUCGAAUCCAACGGCCCGGAGUAUACAAUUUGGAGUCCCUCGAUGGAACCCUCAUUCCCCGAAGUUGGCACUUUGAGAACCUCAGGAUGUAUUAUCAAUAAAGCUCAUUUAAGGGUCUCCAAUGUUUGAAAAUCUAGCCAAUAAGGCAUUCAUCAAAGAUUUCUCCUAACCAUUCGAAGCUUAUUCUAAUGAUGAUCUGCUUGUGAAUCUCAGGAUGUCCUUGAAAUGUCUCGAGUCAGAUCCAACAAUGCCCAACCAAGCUUGGGAUGCCCCGCUGCGUUGACCGCGAGCCAAGUUUUCCUCGACCUCGGGCACUACCUAAUGACGUCCCGACCAAGCUCAGGAGGCCCCGCUAAGUCGACCGCGAGCCAAGUCUUCCUCGACCUCAGGUACUACCUAAUGAUGUCCUGACCAAGCUCGGGACGCCUCGCUGAGUCGACCGCGAGCCAAGUCUUCCUCGACCUCAGGUACUACCUAAUGACGUCCUGACCAAGCUCGGGACGCCUCGCUGAGUCGACCGCAAGCCAAGCCUCCCUCGACCUCAGGUACUACCUAAUGACGUCCCAAGCAAGCUCGGGACGCUUCGCUGCGUCGACCGCGAGCUAAGUCUCCCUCGACCUUGGGUACUACCUAAUGACGUCCCGACCAAGCUCGGGAUGCCCCGCAGCGUCGACCGCAAGCCAAGUCUCCCUCGAUCUCGGGUACUACCUAAUGACAAUCCGACCAAGCUCGGGAUGCCCUGCUGCGUCGACCGCAAGCCAAAGCUCCCUCGAUCUCGGGUACUACUAAAUGGAAAUCUGACUACAGUUCGAGAUGUCUAAGGCAGACAGUACGGAUCGAAGGGAACUCAAGCCUAUAAACGUUUAUGGUUCCAACAGCCGAAUAGCAGCCCAACCUCGACCCGCACUACAACUAGAUUCGAGCCCGAAGACUUAGUUAAAUUCUUCAAAAAAAUGUCGGAAUCACAUUCAAAACCAGACGACACGUGAAGUCCUGCCCAAACAAUCGAAGACAAGGGAUUCAUCGAAAACAAGUAGAGACAAGUUUAAAGAUAUGAGAGAAUUGAAGAAAAUGUAUGUUUUAUUGAUGAAGAGCCUUGAGACUUAAUACAAAGACACUGACUCUGAAGUCGGACCGCUUAGCCGAACAAUGAAUCUAGUGGCUGACCUCAUUUACAAGCAACAACAAAAAUGAAAAAGAGAGCAGCAAAAUUUCAGGUCGCCCCAAAAGUGGUGGCCUCGACGUCGACCUCCUCGUUUGCUGGAGGAACCUCGGGAGCCGCUUCGGAGGCACACUCUGGUGCCACCUCAGGUGGAAUCUCGCGGGCAGCCUUCGGAGCCAUCUCGGCUUCGACCUCAGGAGCCGCCUCGGUCUCGGCCUUGACGUUUACAAGGGUGGGACUCUCAGGAGCGCUGUCAUAAUCAACAACAUCGUCUGCAUUGUCCUCAGCGGCCCCAAAAAGAUGAGGUCGAAGAUUGUUGAAGUCGAGCUUGGGGCAAAGCCUCAACACCUGGGCCCGAAAGUUCUCGAAGCCGCGGAUGAGUCCAUCAACCACCUCUUCCUCGAGCUCCUCUCCAUACUCGACCGACUUGCGAAAAAUUUGCACCGCAAUCCGAGCUUCCUCCACUACCUUCUUCGCUCGAGCUUCAAGCUGCUCGAUCUUCAGGCGGAGGAUCCCCACCUCGUAUUUUUUCCCCGCGAGCUCAGACUGGGCGUCGGCCAAGCGCGCCUCGGCAGCACGAAGAGUCGACCUGGUAAGGGCGUGCGAGGCUUCCUCCUCCUCGAGGCACUCAACCUUGAGCUUGAGCUCGGACUCGAAGGCCUCCGCCCUCGUGGUGGAUUCCUUCCACUUGGCCUCGCCCUCGGCGAGCUUCUUCUCUGCGACCUCCCAUCCUCUCUAGCUCCUCUGGGCCUGGUUUUGGUAGUCAACCACCGCGGAGGCUAACAUAUCAAUCUCGUGGAGGUGCUGUAAGGAAGAGAAAUAAAGGUUAGCCGAGAUUGAGAACUUAGAAGAAUAUAAAAAUGAAAGCAUGAGAAAACCUUACCCGGACAACGGAACAAUAGGCUUGUUCAAUAAAACUAUCGAUCUCGCCCACUUCGAGCUCGGCUCGGUCAGUUGGACGCUGCACAUAGUGGAUGACCUCGCGGGCAACGUCACUGUUAUGGAGGGCCGAAUUGUCCUCAAAGACCAGCCAAGUGGAGGAGUAGGGCCUCCUCCUGGGGCGAUCCUCAACCCCUGAAGAGCUCGCGAUGUUGAGCCUUGAAGAGCUCGAUAGAGGAGCAUGGGAAGAACUCGAGACCCCGAUAUCGCUGCCCGGCACGGGUCCCGAGCGCCGUAAACGGAUGACCUUGCAGACUUUAGAAGGGCCCAAGGACGGGCAAGUGCAGGUCCUUGGUUCCUCUACGGCCUUGGAGGGGGUUGCGCGCUCGACGGGAGUUGCGCGCUCCGCAGGAGUUGCCCCUUCCGAUCUAGGCUCCCCUACUUUUUUUUGCUGUCUCUUCCGAACGAGCUGGGAGGUGUCGGCCUUAAGAUCUUCAACCUCCACCAGAGCAGAGGUCGAGGCUGGCCUAGGCCUCUUCUUAGGCAUGGGGCGAGCUCCGCCGACUUCGGCUGCCCUCUUAUUGUACCUGGCGAGAAGGACCUCGUUGUUGGACAUUAUCCCUGCGGUCUCUGAAAAAUAAAAAAUUUCAAGUCUCAGACUAGCUUCAAAAAGAGAAAAAGAAAGUAUAAAAUAGNNNNNNNNNNNNNNNNNNNNAUAUUCUUGGAGUUGUAUGAACUUAUUGUUUUUAAUGAAUAUUUUAUUUCAUCUUAUGUUUAAUUCCUGUGAUUUUAAAUAUGAAGUUUAUACAACUGUUCUUCAUGAUCGCUAAGUAAAUAUAAGAUAGUCCAUGCUUAGGAAAGAUGCGAUGUGCUGCCACCUUAGAUUAGGGUAGACAUUUCAUGCCAACUGAAGAUGGAUUAUGCCUAAAUUACUUUUGUGAAUCUCUAUUUAAAUGCUUAUUAGACUUGUAGCCAAUUUACAUGUUAAUCCAAAAAUAAAUUAAAAUACAAAUAACCCUGGUUCCGAUGUUAGUGGUGAAUUCCUUGCCCUAGGUUCCCUCAAACUGAUAUCAUUAUCAAUUGCAUUUUUAUUAAAUCCUUAGUUUAAUUUUCCUCACAAACUCUUCCUUUUAAAUAUUUUUAUUUUUUUAAAGAAAAGCAACUGUACCCCAAUCCCUGUGGAUUGAUAUCCGUAAUCACUAUCCUACCAGAUACGUGCUAUUGCGUGGUCUUUAAAUUUGACUAUCACAACUUCUCCUUCCACCCAUGAAUGGAGGAAGGAGCACCUCAGAAGAAUGGCCAACCUCCCCGAAUGGCAAAGUACAGCCAUCCUCCAUUUGUAGGAUUCGAUUUCAGCAUGAAUCACCCGCGGAAGACAUUAACCAAGGUCGGUAUUCUAUGAGCCAGGCAGAGGAACAAGAAGCCGAUAACCGUCCUCCACGAGUUUGGAGCGAGCUACGCUGGGAUGAGAUGAUACAUCGUCAGGAGCUCAUUCACAAACUCGUGCUGGGGGCAUCUCAGACCGGCCCGAAGUAUCUCCCAGUACACUCUAAUCUGACCUGGGGGGUCUCAUGACACGGUCCUCUAGCCCCGCGAGCUCGAAAGCGAACUCACGAUGAAAGGAGAACUGGGUUCGAAUCGUGCCUAGUUCUUCCUCAGUCAGGUUCAACCCGACUCCGUCUGGCCGUGGCCCACCUCCGGUUCGACCUCCUUCUUACCGGAAGGAGCUCCAGCAGAAGAUGAAGUGCCACCCGACAUUUGUCCAGCUCACGAAUUUAACAAAAAAAAAGAGGAAGGAGGAUGAAGAAAAAAAAGCAAGCCUCCGAGCAAGCGUGAGUGGGAGACCUACUGUGGUCCUCGCCGAAAGCACCGACGGCUAGAAAUGGGAAAUCAAGAAGAACCUCCAGAAAAUACUCAGAGGCACCUUCGGGGAAGACAAGACAACAGUCGGAGGAAAGUAAAAUGGAGAAAGAAGAAGGCAAAGACUAUGGCGGACAAAUGAAGGUUCUUAGGGCUGGGCUGGUGUUUAUAUAAACCCUCCCAACAGAUUGGAUCGACAAGAACAAGCCGUGCCUCCCGUCCAGAUCAUGCCAUGUGCUAGCCUCGAAGAUCGGCCCAGCGUAUCAACCUGGAUCGCCGCAUUAAAAGCGGAAUGGAGCAGCCGUCUCAUCGAAUACUGGAGUCCCAUUAUGAAGUCGCAGCACAAAUCAUCUUGAAAAACAGAAAGUUGCCGCCUUGCGCCUUCAUUAAAAACAUCCAAAAGCGCAUUUUCCCCUCCUUUUGAAACGACAUAAUGAUUGGAGGCCGCCUAAUCUCAUCAGCAUGACAGAAUUAGCUACUUCCUUCGUCCGAGCUCGAAAAUGGCUCGAACUUGAAAGUCGAGGGUAGUGAUGGGGAAAAAGUGGACCACCCCACAAAAUAUAAUUAAAAAACCUGAAUCCUAUGACAGGCAUAAUCCCAACAAGCAUGGCAUCAACAAGCACGACCUCAAUAAGCAUGACAUCAGCAAGCACGACCUCGACAAACACAACCUCGGCAGGCAUGACCUCGGCAGGCACGACCUCGGCAGGAACGACCUCGGCACGCAUGGUCUCGGCUGAGCAAAGCCCGAUUGACCUCAGGCCGACCCCGACUCCACCAACAAUCAAGCGGUCCGCCUAAGAAAAGGACCAUCAAAUCCUCCAUAUCUGAGAUCAAAUCUCGCAAUCUCCGCCACAACGAUUGUCAAUAUUUGAAUCCACGCAAUCUCAACCGAUCGCCAGCUAGCCCAAAAUCUCGGGCCAUCUAAAGUAACUCAUUUAAACCCAAAUUUAUGCAAUCACGCCUGAUUGUGUGUAACUGCUACACCCCCUCCUAUAAAAAAGGAAGGAACUCUAGGGAGAACAUCUUUUUCCCGGGCCAGAAAACACCUCUCAUUAUCUCCAUUAUCUCUAAAGCCCCUCUCUAACUUAAGCAUCGGAGGGCCUUCAUCGGAACCCCAAGCCAAAGGCUUUUUGCAGGUCCACCGGAGACAUCCGUCCGCCACCGCACUGCAGCAGAAGCUCCUCCUCCUCGAUUCGCAGUCACCCCCGGGUCUAUUUUCCAGCAACACAAACCAUGAUGGUGUUGUAGCACAAAUGUUGAAAAAAGAAGGAUAAGAGGUGGUUGUCCAUUGAAGAGUUCCUGCUUUUUCUGGAGGAGUCAGCAUCAGGUUCAGGGUUGGAGGAGAGAGAAGCUCAUGCUAUCUACCUGGGCUACCACACGUGGUUGGACAGGAAUGCCCGAGUCUUUGAGAGCAGCAGUUUGCCCCCGAGGGUGGUGGCGGCCAGAGCAUUACCGCACGUAGCAGAGUUCAUUAGGAUUGCUGAGACUUCACUUUACUGGGUUGGCCAAGGACAUCUUGGGCCCCCUUCAUGCUCUUGCAGUGCUCAGGUAUAUGUUUGUAUCUUGGAUGCCCCCACCUUCUGGCUUCCUAAAGGUGAAUUUCGAUAGCAGUGUGACGGACGGGGGAGAGGCGGAAGUGCAGGUUUCAUCAUUAGAGACCAUGAGUCCAGACUUGUGGCGGCAGGGAGCCAGCAGAUCUUUGAUGUCUCGGUAGUGUGUGCCGAGCUCAGAGCAGCCUGGGAAGGUACCUUUUUUGCCUGUCGGAUAUUGGGUACGGACCGACUUAUUCUUGAGGGCGACUCGACCACGGUGAUCGACUGGGUCCGAGGUGGGGGUAUGCAAGUGAGGAUAGGCCGUUGCUCCUCGAUAUUUACAGACUACUGUAGGAAUAUGAUGGUCAUCAGGCCACACAUACCUACAGGAAAGCGAAUGGAGCGGCUGAUUGGGUUGCAUCCUAUGCAGCCCACCAUUCUGGUGGUUUGGUGUGGAGAGACCAGGACAUAGUGUCGGGUUCUUUAUUUGCUUUGUUGUUUUCUAAUUUUAUUAGCCGUAUCCACAUCUGUAGGGUGUGAACCGCCGUUGUAACCAAAAAAAAAGAGGAUAAGAGAAGAGAAUUGUAUUUCUGCCUAUUGAUUACAAUGUACAGAAGCAGUCUUUAUAUAGAACUAGGAGGUUGACAAAAUUUGAUAAGGUCGACGAAGCUUGGCACAAUCAAUUACAAAUCAAUCAAGAUGAAGUUUGGUAAGGCCAACUAAAUUUGACACAAUCAAUCAAUUAAUGAAUUCUAAUAACGGAGUUCAAAGUUUGAUCUCUGCCACUUAGGGAUUCUACAUAACUUGCAUGACAUCCAAAUAGCAGCAAGUGACAAAGGGUUUGCAUCAAUGCCCAUAAUACCAACUACAACUCUCCAUAAGGUUUUGAACAAGGAGCACUCAAGGAAGAUAUGAUCAACGAAGUCUAUUGGGUCGUUGCAAAAAAAAAAGAAAAAAGCCUACCAGGUCAUAUCCGAGCUUCCAGUUGAGAUAUGCACUAGCAUUAAGCUUGUUCUUGAAACAUCUACAUCCCGACCAAUCCAUCCCCAUCUAUAUCACGAUCAAUCCAUCGCCUCAGUGAUAAUCAGAUCCAACCACUCCCCUUUGAUGUUUCCAAGAGGGAAACAGAGAAUAUGAUACUAGCAUGGUAGUGCAACUCUGGUACAACGGCCGUGGAGAAGCGCAGCCUCCAGUUAUUAUUAUUAUUAUUUUUUUUUUUUCUGAGUCACACGAUGGAGAGAUUCCACCGCAGGACAUUUUUUCUCAUACUUACUGAAAAUCAUAGGUUUGCUCUGGUACUUGUGCAAAAAAAUAUCGGGCAGGCCAUCACAACCCCGUACACAACCCAAAUUAGCCCAAUCUGAUUUGGCCCAGGCUUCGGGGUUAUUUUGCGGGCUCGAACUUGUUAGCUUCAGAUGUUGGGCCGAACUUCGAGCUUUUUAGAUGGCGGCGGAAGGGAGGAGGCACGAUUUAAGAAUUAUAGAUUGGAAAUGUAAUUCAAUAAAAUUAUAAAAAUAAUCAUAUAUAUAUAUAUAUAUAUAUAUGAUAUUUAUUAAUUUAAAUAAUGGGCUUGGGUCGGGUUAAUAUAAAUCUGAGCCUAAUCCAUUUGAAAAACUGACUGCAAUUCUGGUCCGACCCAGACCAUCAGGCUGAAAAAUCAGAUCCAGGCCUGCCCAAAAUGCAUCAGUUCCGACGGGCCCUGGUUUUUGAGCAGGCCUAAUAACCAUUAACCAGGUAGCCAUCUUUUAAUAUAAAUUGGUAGUUAAGGAACAGCUAGCAUCGCAUUAGCAGUACGGAGUCCUAGAAUGCAUCGUCGCAUUUCUCUAAAUUUUUCCGCUCCUGAACGGGCAUCGUGCAGUAACGGUACAAUUGAACGCGAGAGGUGCUCCGCUCAAGCGUAGCGCGCAAAGUUGGAGACAGCUGCCUCCACGCGGUAAACGCUAACCCAAGAAGCGAACUCCACACCCCGCUAUCCCCCUCCUCCCCCUCUCUCUCGAUGCCGAAAUCAUGAGGGUGAGUCUCUCUCUCUCUCUCUCUCUCUCUCUCUCAUACCAUGUGAAGCCGGCGGUCACAGUAGACAGCAGCUUCCCAUAAAUAAAUCAAGGAGUAUCCAAUGCACCCAAGAGCACGUAUAAUAAAAAUCACCCAGUGUCAGUGAGUCACGUGACAUGCCCCCUCCCCUGUCCUCCCCUCCCCUCCAGAUCCAGAUCUAAUGCACUGAAACCACCCCCCCACCUCCACAUUUCUUGCCUCUCUCCCUGGUUUCCUCCCAUCGGUAGAGAGAUGCUGGGCCGGACGCUAAACUUGAGGGCCGAGCAGCUGGGUCCGGGCGCCCUCCGGGCCAGUGGCAACCUUUGCUUCGCCCUCUUCGUUCUGGGCGUUUUGGUGUUCACCCUCAUCGCUGCCACUUACCAGCCUGACGACCCACUCCUCCACCCGUCCUCCUCCCAUCUCACCUCCUUCCUUACCUCCACCUCCAAUGCCACCUUCAGCUCCGACGACUCCGUUCUCCGCACCGGCGAAGACUUCCUCAACGUCUCCUCCUCCUCCUCUGUCUCACUCCAAGAAUCCGACUCCGCCUUCAUCCACCUCUCCGACCUUCCUAAUACUACCAACACCGCCACCGUUACCGCUGCCGACUCCACCGCUGCCAACACCGACUCCACCGCCGCCGCCACCGACUCCACCGCCGCCACCGACUCCACCGCCGCCACCGACUGCGACUCCGCCGCCCCCAUCGACUGCUCCGAUCCGGAGAUCUUCCACCUCAUGAUGCGCUACGCCAUCGAGUCUUUCCCCGACAUCCACUUCUACCGCUUCGGCAAGCCUGUCCCCGCACCCGCUGCCCCCUCGGGCGAGGGCGCCGCUGCCUUCGCGGCCUGCGACAUGGCCUGGCGGUUCCGCCCCAGGGACGCCAAGCGCGCCACCUUCUACAAGGACUACCGCCGCUUCGACCUCACACGCAAUCCGGCCAACUGCUCCGUCUCCGUCAAAAAGAUCGGCGACUUCCACUCCGGCGUCAACGCCCGCAAGAAGCGCCGCUCCAAGGCUGGCGCCUCGCCCGCGGGGGACUUCGCGCCGAAGAAGACGGAGAAAGCAUCGGUAGCUGCGGUGGAGGUGGUGCCGGUGGUAGGGGAGGCGGUGAACGACUCCCUCCCGGUGGUCGAGUCCGAGGCCAAGUUCAGCAGCGGCCGGUACCUCAUCUACUCCGGCGGCGGCGACCGGUGCAAGAGUAUGAAUCAUUACCUCUGGAGCUUCCUCUGUGCUCUCGGCGAGGCUCAGUACCUGAACCGGACCCUUGUCAUGGACCUCACCAUUUGCCUCUCCUCUCUGUACACCGGGACCGGGCAGGACGCUGAAGGGAAGGACUUCCGGUUCUACUUCGACUUCGAGCACCUCCGGGACUCGGCCUCGGUAAUCGACCGACGCCAGUUCUGGACUGACUGGGGGAAAUGGGAGAAGAAGAAUGGGCUGACCCUCCGCUUUAUCAAUGACUUCAAGGUCACGCCGAUGAAGCUUGCCGACGUUAAGGACACCCUGAUUAUGAGGAGUUUUGGGGAUGUCGAGCCGGACAACUACGGGUACAGGGUAUGCGAGGGGGAGACGGAGUCGGUGAUCCAGCGGCCGUGGCACCUCAUCUGGAAGUCCCGCCGGCUGAUGGAGAUUGUCUCAGCCAUUGCCACGAGGAUGAGUUGGGACUUCGAUUCAGUUCACAUUGUGAGAGGAGAAAAGGCGAAGAACCCCGAACUCUGGCCUAAUCUUGAUAGAGCCACUUCUCCGGAUGCACUGCUUGCGACCCUCCGGGAUAAGAUUGAGGAUGGCAGGACCCUUUAUAUUGCGACCAAUGAGCCCGAUACCUCAUUCUUUGAUCCCUUGAAGGACAAGUACACCACUCGCUUCCUUGAUGAUUUCAAGGAUUUGUGGAAUGAGAACAGUGAAUGGUACUCAGAGACUAAGGAGUUGAACAAUGGGGCUCCAGUGGAGUUUGAUGGCUACAUGAGGGUGGAGGUUGACACCGAGGUGUUCUUAAGGGGAAAGAAGCAGCUUGAGACCUUCAAUGAUCUCACCAACGAUUGCAAGGAUGGUGUGAAUACUUGUCCCGCUUCUUCCUGAUCCUGUGAUGGAGUUAGAUGGUAAGCUAUAAUUUUGGAGAGCUUCUACAGAUAAUUGCUUUAAAUUCUAAAUUAUCACUAGCCCUUCAGCAUCCUUGGGGAAUUCAUUCUUGCUGUAUUAGUUUGUGGCAUGUGUUCCGAGUACUAGAAUUGCUAUAUAUCUGUUGCCUAGGAACUCUAGUGAGAUUGCUUAGAAUAGCAGCAUUGUUAUUACUAGUUAUUGAGUGGCCUCUCUAUUUCUUUUGUUGGUGUUGCAGCUGCUGAAGUGUUGGGCUAAUCUUCUACUUGAUUGUGAUGGAACUUCUGCUCUACUUAUGUUGUAACAAAUGUUUAAGCCUGUUACUUGAUAGCAUAUUUGUAAUCCAAGAUAGAUAUUUUGGUAGCCUUCCCUUCAUAUCUGGUUGUAGUGAAUAUCUUAUCCACUUUUCUGUUUCCACAAUUGAGGUCCGAAUGAAUAAGUUGCAGGAACCUUCUGCUUUGGAUUCCAUGUCAGUUCCAGAGUUCUGUUUUUAUUCACUUGCUCCCUUACUUUGGAUGUUUUGGAGCUUCUGAAUGCUUAUCGAUAUUGUCUAAAUUACUUUAAAGUAAGUUGGAUUUUGUCAUUUUGUUUAGCUUUGAACCAUUCAAGUAUUGGUUAUAUAGAUCUUCUUAAAAGACAAUUUUUGUUUAUCAUUUAACAUGGUUCACCAAAACUGAUUUUCUAUCCAAAUGUUCGUUUGGUCCACUUUUUUCCUUGUCAUUUUCUGGGACGAAAAGCUUAUUCUCUGCUAGUGGAAGCUAAAUCUAUUCCCAAUCCAUUUUCUAGUUUUUGCAGCUAUAGAAUAGUCACUUGAUAUUCUACUGCAAAUGCUGAUAUAAGUGUUAAUUUUUUGCCCGAAUGUGGUAGAAGCUGAGAAGAUUAUCAAAAAGGUUACUGGUAUGUGAGGUCAGGCUGUUAUGCCUUAGAAAUACUUUGUUAGCUAUCUUUAGUUUUGGCAUUGUUUUAAAUCUAGACGAGUCAUCUAGUUUGCUGCAAGUCUUGAAUCAGUUUCCAGCCAUAGGCUUACAUGUUUGUACUAAAAUCUCUUUCAAUGCUUCUGACAUCAGCAUGACAUACUUUGUCUAUAUCUCUAUUUGGUUUUAUUCUGAGUCCAAUGCCCGAAACUCUGGCUUGUCCGAUGGUUUUAGCAGCUUAGAUGUAUUUUCGAUGAUUGCUGUGCAAAAGUACUUGUGUAAUAUCGGAGAAUUAUUUAAGAACUGACACUACAAAAUUUAUAGCAUCAUUAAUAGAACUAACUGGUUGAUAUGCCAAACAUAUGCCGUCAUGUUGAAAUUAAAAAUAACCAUCAUCUUUUUCCAUAUGGGAAAUUGGAAAUGUGACUUUUUUGAUAUUUAUAAAUACUUGCCCCAUAUUUAGAUAUCUCAUGGCAUUUAAUAAAAUCAUAAAUGUGUAAAUGCAAAAUUUAUGAAAUCCACAAUUUUCAGUUUUUUUUUUUUUGAAAUUAGAAACUUACGAAUUAUCGUAUUUUUAACAGUUUUCCAAAAGGAAUUGUUUCCCAAGUUUGAAAUUUUCUUGAGAUUUAAGCAACUCUGUAGUUUUAACCACUAAUGUGGCUAAAUGAUCGAGGAAUUAUUUACUUGUUUUCUUAUAGUUUUUGAUGUCUAACACCCAAGUUAAUCUAAUUCUUUUGAAAACUCAUAAAAUCCAAGUUUGAUCUUGUGAUAAAUAUCCUAAAAGACUUGAUCUUAAUAGAAAGAAAUUUCCAUUUAGGAUGGUGCAUCCACUUCAGAGUCUCUCCUGAAACCCAUCGCCACAUCUGCUUUCUGAACAUUUCUUUAUUCAAUUUUUGAAGAGGCCAACUUCUCCAUUCCCACAUCCAGAUCCACUCCCUCACUCACAUUUAUUUUGGACUUCUUCUAUGAACUAUUUCUCCAUGAGCAAUUUCAUUACUCUCUUAUAGGAUAAAAGAAUAUUGAAGACUAACUGCACAUGGGAAGUCAUUAGCUUACAUCCUUUAUGUUUAUACAGAAAUUGACUAAAUCAAGACAAAGUGGAACACCAGAACUAGGGUCUGUAUCAUGCUAGCUUUGGCUGAAACAGGUUAGUUUAGUCUGGAACAAUUUGUUUGCUCAGAACUUAAAACCUUAAUCUCUGGCCCUUCUGUAUGACUAGAGUAACCCACCUACUUUCUUUUUUCUGGUGCCACAUUUGUUGUUGCAUUUUUGUAAAAUCUAUUGUAUCUAAAUCUGGAAUGUUGAAGUUUUCUUUAAAAAAAUAUUUUUGCUUUCCUUUAUGAUGUCCAGGCUGGUCUUUCUGGGAUCUUGUUCAUCCUUAGCAUUUCUUAGUGGAAUAAUGUAUGACCAGGUUUCCCCUUGAUCAUCAAAGUUUACUUCCAGUGAGGCUAUGACAUUCCCAACAGAAACAGUACAUAGAUGUAUGCUUGUUAGGUCCUCAGUGAGUACAAUCCUGGGUAUCACUUGACUUUUUUUUCAUAAGCUAUCAUUGAUGAGAUUUUUUUUUUUUUAAUUUUCAUCCAUAUGAGGAAUGUUUCCUUAAAUGCAUUUGACCAUUUAUACAGUUGUUUGACAAAAGGUAGUGUCAUCAUUAGUGGCAAUCUUGUAUGUUCUGUCUUGCAUUAAAGAUACUGAAGCUGCGAAUUCUUCAUAAAUGAUGCAAAUUCAAAAAGCUGUAUAAUUCGGAACCUCCCACUCCACAUAAGGGCUGUUACUACUCUGUUAAUAGUCAGUGUAUUUGAGGCCUAAAUCUGAUAUUGAUGAGACAAAUACAUAUGUAAUUUUAACCGGCAAGCCCCUGUCUAAUUUAAAUGCGUUAAUAUACAAAUAUGCAGGAGUGACAUCUCAUAAGCACUUGGGUGAUGCAGAAUUUAGUGCAUAUAUCAUUGUUUAGUUUCUUCAAAGUGCCUCUUUUGAAAAUAUAUCAUGUUUUCAAGACUUCUCUUCUAUUGGCAAAGACUUUUUCAGAAGCAGAUCUCUCAUUACAGUUCUUUUGAUCAACUCAGUCCCUAUGCCUUUGCAUCUGUUCCGUAAUCUCCACCACCAUUUCUUUGAUGAAGACUAUCUAUUCCCUUGAGAUUCAAUAUCCUAGACCCUUAUUUUUUAUUUCUGCAAACUUUGCCUGUUUCAUCAAGUUAUGAAUUAUGACCAUUUGUCUCUGCAUCCUGAACAUAUGAACUGAUUUUAUUAUUUCUUGUUAGUGCCCUGUUUUAAAACAGAAGAUGUGUGCAAUCAGGGUGUAUGUUCCAGCUAGCCUUCGCAAUUGAAUCUCAUGCCAGUGCAGAAGCUAGUGCAGCUUUGCCCUUAUGCUGACCCAAUGCCACACCUAAAAUCCCUUUAUAAAUGACAGCACAAAGACCCCAAUCUGGAGGGGAAAAAAAGAGAAUGAUUUACUGAAAUGCACAAUGCUCUGAACACCAAAAAGCAAUGCAAAAAGCAGCAGUCACUUCCUGCUUCAAACCCUGAAAUUUUGUCUCAAUAGCUGCUGGUUUCACAUCCAUUAGCAGAAGGUGCUAAGAUGGCCUCUAUCAUUUUUCCCUUACCCUGCUUAGAACUUGCUCAAUUAGUAAUUAGGAACCCUAUACUAUUGUUUUAUAACAAGAUGUUGCUCCCUAAUUUAGAUCUUGGUCCCAGCAUCUUCACUGUCAACAGUAUAUCAGUCUUUAGAUCUGCUCUUUAGUGCAAGCUGCAGUGUGGCCUCUGGCAUAAUAUUUCUGUGGCAGAACCUGCCCAUGAGCAAUAAAAUGUUGAUACUAACAAUGAAAGAAAAAAAGAUUAAUGUUAUUUAUAACUAGGAAUGAAUACGGGGUUUUUCCUUCUGCUUAAAUUUCACACAUUCCUCUUGUACCAAAAAAAAAGCACACAUUCCUCUAGCCAUUAUAUUUCAGGGCAUUCUUUUUUUCUUGUCUAUUCAAUUCUCCUCAACUUUAUCCACUGUAAUUUCAUACUUCUUGAUCUUCCUUUGAUGUCCAAAAUUUGGUGAAUAGGUUUAUUGCUUUUUUGAGAAAAGUGAAUAUGGGUCUUCUAGUUCUAGUUCUUUAUGUUGAAGAAUGUACUCUAGUGCGACUUGCUACUUCCUGUGUAUUAGAUUAUCUGCAGCAAGGAUCUUUUGUCAUAUGUACGAUUCAUAUGAAUACAAUCCAAUAGCUGUUUACCAGGUGUCCAAAUAACGCCACUUUUUAUCCAUGAGAGACUACAAAGUUACUUUCUCUGAUGCUUUAACUUUUGCUUGGAAAAGAUUGCAGUUCUGCAUACUGUUCUAGACAUAGUUGUCUGAUAUCAGGUUUUUAUUCAGUUGGUGAUUCUUUGGGGGCAAAUGGCUAUCUUCAAGUGGUAAAUGCUGGACUCUGUGAUAGAUUAUCUCGAAGGUAGGUAUAUAGACCCACCUGCAUGUAACUGAGAAGUGUGAAUGGAAGAACAUAGUGCUUAUUCUCUGUGACAUGCUGUCCAACACCAACAACGAUUGUUUAGAACAUUUAAGUUUUUUCUGCAGAGAGAAGGAAGCGAAAAUGAAAUGGAAAUCAAGAGGAGAAAAAUAAAAAUUGCCCUGUAGCAUCUAGCUUUGUUUUUCAAGAAUCCUAGCACAUCAACUAUCAUGAUCGGAUCUUAGAUAUUUUUUUCGGUAACCUAUCAUGUCUUAGAUCUACUGAAUGAAUGACUUAAUCAUUAAUACGAAAUGCUAAGAUCAAAUCCAAAGGCAAAAUUAGAGCAAGACAAACCUUGUUAAACGGAGUCAGGAGUGGUUUUGGGGAAGAUUUGUGUGCAAGAGCAUGAACAUGGGGCAGACAAAAGAAGUUUAGACAGGGGAAGCACUUGGAAAGCAGCUGGAACAGUGAGAUUCUGUAGAGAUUUCCAUAGAUGGUCCAGCACCAUAGGUAGAAAAAGUUUCUGGCUGCUUGGAGGCAAUCGGUUGAUAUAUGUGAAGCUCUCUUGACAGCUCAAGCGCGCACUGGAUUGAAUUAGAUACUCAGUAUCCCUUCCUAAGAAGGAUGUUAUAUCCCAAGCUGUAUUUAUGAAAUUUGAAUGGUUGAUUAAUGAUUGCGUAGGGUGAUUGCUGCAAGUCUGCUGUGCAAUGAUGUGAUCAUGAGAGGAUUUGGGAAGUGUUGAUUCAAUUAGGGAAGAUGCAAAUCCAUUCAUUCAGGUUCUACCCAUGGAGGCACUGAUGUCGGUUGAAGUUCGAAAAAUUGAUCUUUUAUAAGAGGAACUUUCCACAUAAGACGUGUGACUUGAGGUUGACAAUUGUAGGUAUAUAACCUGUUCCUUUUGAUUGUUAUGUGAGGGAUUCAAUUACUGACCAUAUACAAAAAUGAUUCGAAUGUCUGCCAAUUAUAGAGAAUGCUGCUUGCUGAAGCAGUUGUCUAAUGGUCUGAUCACCAGAAAGCACCAUUUCAUUCUCCAUGACUCUAGAUUAGGUACGUGGAGAUGAAGACACACUUGGCAUGACUUGAAAACUAGACAAGCAGGACAAAAAUGGUGCUGCAGGUUUAGUGGACUGCAGGUAUAUUUUGUUGCGUUUGUGUUUGUGUAUGCAGUAUAAUAGCUGUGGAAGUUAAAAGGUACUUGUUUUGCUUCAUUAUUCUUUUAACGACCUAUUCCUUAUUUCAUCUGAAGUCAGAUAAAAUACUUUGCAUGUGGUGCGUUCUUCAACGUUCAUCCACCUAAUCAAUCAAAGCUAACAUUGAUGAGGCGUAGACUUUGUUAUUGGUUGUGAUUGUUUAAUUGGGAUAAACCAUGUAUAGGUAUUUGUAUCUCUUCGUUAAAGGUUUUCUUAUUUGAAUAAUUAUAUCUACGUAUUGAUCACAUGGUGAAUUUGUGGCAGAAUUCUGAAUAAAAUUUCCCAAAUGUUACCGAAUUCGAGGCAUAUUAGUUGAGGUCAAUAUCAACAACCAACAAAUUUGGCUGUAAAAUAUUUUUCGACAAUCUUUGAACUUCCCAUCUUGCUUCAUCAUCUAUUCAUCUCAUUUUGAAUAUCUUAGCUUUCAAUAGGAGUAACUUUGUAGAUCAGCUGGCAGGUGCUUAUGCACUGAAUUUUAUAGUAUCUUGUAGUUUGAGUUAGAUGAGGGAAUCAGUGAUGGCUGACUUCCUAAGAUAACAACAAUCACCAUUUUGGUUUGUGUACCGAGCUUUGUUAUGGAAUCUUCUGUUAUUUUAAUGCCUUGUCUUAUCGAAGGCAUGAGAUUAGGAGAAACCAACAAAGCAUAUAUUUAUAAACAAAAUGUUAUGAUUGGAAGAGGUUGAUCCAUAUAUGCCAAGGACGUUCCUGGAAGAUAUCACAUCAGCACGCAUUAUACGGCAAAUUGCUUGAUAAAAUACUUGAUUUAAUUGUUUUUCACCUGAUACAAUUAAAGCCCGUGAAAGAUCAUACUAUCCUAUCAAAGGGUCACCUCCAUCCCUUCGGCAAUGGAAAAGCAAGAGGAUUAAUAGGCCUUAUCUUUUGGCUGCUUAUUACAGGUCAGUAGCCUCUCCUCCCAUUUGAAUCAUAUCCUGUUCGUUUAGCUUUUAGCUUGCAAGAGAUUUCUCUUUUAUAACCAAAUACAUGACGGUUAAUGUGAGACAAUAAUAAAUCCUCUUAUAUCUAUUGCAGAUUGACAACUCUUUCCACCACAUCUAACUUCGAUUUGUAAUUUUUUAAUAAAAUUUUCUGAUGAACGAUAGAACAAAUUAUUGUGAAAAGUUCCUUGUUGAUUGUAACAAGUAGACUGCAUUAAAAAGUAAAUAGGAGAAUUUAUAAAAUUUAAAGUAGCUUUCAUCAUUUUUUUAAUUAAAUGAAAGGAUCAUGGUGCGAUAUAGUGCCACGCUUUUUUAAGGCCUUCUCAAAGAGAAAGUAUUUCUUAUGCUAUACAUGUGGGACUACGGAUACCUAUUAAAGAAUCAUACAUCAUACUUCUUUAACAAUAAAGAGGGAAAAGAAAGAGAAUUAAAACUUGGGAAAAGUGGGACUUCUGCCUGGUAAGAAGCAUAUUCUUAAAUAAACCUGGACAAGAAUGAAGAAUUUCACCUGGUAAAAAUUUUGAGAAGCUGUUUUAGCUUUUUCAGAAAGCUAAAAACAGUUUUUGGAAGAAGCUUCAUUUUGGAGCUUUGCGGAAAAGCACUUUUAAGCCUCGUCGAAAAGCUGUUACUUUUACCAAAAUAUCUGUAAUAAAAUAUAACAAGUAGACAAAAUGUCCCUUUAUAAUUCUGAAAAUCUACAGGAGGGUGAAAAAUUAAUUUACACUAAUAAUUAUAAUAUUUUAUACCUUUAUUAUUGUAUUAUACUAUAAAUAUAAUAUUAUAUUAUAUUAUAUCAUAAUACAUUAAUAUGUUAUGUUAAAUAAUUUAAUAUUAUGUUAUAUUAUGAAAAAUUAAUUUAUGCUAAUAAUUAUAAUAUUUUAUAUCUUUGUUAUUGUAUUAUACUAUAAAUAUAAUNNNNNNNNNNNNNNNNNNNNNNNNNNNNNNNNNNNNNNNNNNNNNNNNNNNNNNNNNNNNNNNNNNNNNNNNNNNNNNNNNNNNNNNNNNNNNNNNNNNNNNNNNNNNNNNNNNNNNNNNNNNNNNNNNNNNUUAUAUAUUUAUGUAUUAAUACAUAUUAUAUUUUAUUAUGCUCUAUUGUAUAAUACUAUGCAAUAUUCUUUAUGGUCAUUUUAUUAUACUAAAAGUACUUUUUUAGUUUGUUUACUAAAGACAUGUUAAAGUGCCACAACACUUUAGAAAUGUAAUUACCAAGCAGCAAAAAUUUUUUUUAUAAAAAUUCUACUUCUGAAAACUCUACUUUCAAAAUCUUUACUGCCAACAGCUCUCCCAAAUGGGGCCUUAAUAAUUUUACUGCUUCGAGAAUAAACCUAUAUAUUUAUAAUGUAAAUUUCUGUCUAGAAGCACUAAGCCAAAAUGUAGAUUAUAUUGUAUUAUGCCAAUAGCUAUUUUCGUCAAAUUUUACUCUUAUUAUUAUUAUUAUUAUUAUCCCUUAUUUUCUAUUGCAGAGAAAAAUUAUAGCCAUUAUAAAAAUAAUUAUGCUAUUUUUUAUAAAAAAUGUAAAUAGAUUGAGGAAACAAUGGCAGUCAUAUGUCAGUCCUAAUGGUCGGUAUUUGACCGUUGAACCUUCUUUUGGACAUUGCCUCUUGAUCUCUUUUUGGCAUGGAAGGAUGCAUCGUCCUCUUCCGCGAUGUCGGUUCUCCUUUUAUCGAUCCGUAGAGAUCUUGAAGCGGCAAUUGCAUAAUUUAAUAGUUAAUGUCGUGGGAAAAGAUCAACUAUUCUCUUGGCGAGAGAGGCGGAGAUGCCCAGUAUGUAUUGUUUUUAUUUUUUUACUAUAUCCGUACAUAUGUGUAAUAUUUUUGUUUUAAAAAAAAAAUUGCCUCUAACGUCCGUAACAAUAGGGUGGAAAGGGAGAUUCUCCGUUACCUGACCAAGCUGGUCCAGCUUUUUGGAGGGCAUCUCGCAAAGAGGGUAUGUUCCCUCCCAUUACCUAUGUGUGUAGGUUCAGACGUGUGGGUUUGGAGCACCUCCACUAGAACCAGCGUUAGGGUGGGCGACCUCUCCCGCAUUCUCAGACGACAAUAUGAGCCUAGGCCAGACUACGCCUGGAUCUGACGCUUGGGACUCCACCGGAGGGUAGCACUAUUCCUCUGAAAAGUGGUCUGGGACCACCUUCCAACGAGAGUAGUACUUAGUUGACGAAGACUGAGGAUUCCCUUGGUAUGUUGGGACUGUGGUGUGGAUGAGAUGGUGGACCAUGCCUUGUUUCAGUGCACAUGGGCUAGGGCGACUUGGCGACUGUCAGGGAUCCUGCAGGAGGUUCGAAGCCAGAGGGACCAGUUUUUUACAGGCCAUGCGCCGAUGUUCGGAGUCCCCACUGCUUCGCUAGGAGGCAGCUCAAGCGAUUUGCACGUCCUACCAGAUCUAGCUGGUUAGAAACGCUCGAACCUUUGGCGAACGCCGUAUGUCGCCAAGAUUUGUAUUACAGAGUGCCCGUAUGCAGGUGGCAGAGCUCAGUCACACCAUACCUGACGAAGAGACCUUGAUAGCUCGAGACAUCUGGGGUUCCCAUUUUGCUUCAGCAGUAUCUCGUACGGUAUUUUUCAUCUGAGAGCCCUCACCCCAGAGCUUCCUCAAGGUCAAUUUCGAUGGGUAUGUCUUGGAUGAAGAUACGAGAGGCGGAGCGCGGGUUUUGUUAUUCGGGACCCAUCUGCUAGGGUCAUGGCUGCAGGAGGCAGUCAACUCUUCGAUAUACUGGUUCCGGUUGCAGAGCUGAGGGUCGUGUGGGCUGGCCUUCGUCACGCUAGGUGUGUUUUACAGGCCAGUUCUAUUAUCUUGAAGGGGGACUCGGCCACGAUCAUCAGUUGGAUCCGAAGGGCCCUAGGGGUAAUGGUUGUGUCCACCCCUUACUGCGAAAUAUUUGGAUAAUGGUGAGGGAUGGGAGGGCCGUUCAGACCAAACAUAUUUUCCGUGAAGCUAAUAGGAUUGCGGACUGGAUGGCUGCUUAUGUAGCUAGUCACGCCGGUAGUGCUUUGUGGGCUGGAGAUGGCCCACACUUUUUUUUAAUAUUUUAUGUCGAUUGGAGAAAAGAUCGUGAGUGGGGCCCAUACAAAUGCGACAGGCUCUGUCAGAUGAUCCACACCAUGUGGUGCAUCGAGAGAGGGCGAGGCCAUUUAUUUCCACCAUGUGAGCUGGAGAUGGAUUGGUUUUGGAUCUCGCGCAGGGCUCGGUCUAGUCCAAGGUCCUGAAAUGUAUAUAAAAACAGUGGGUAGAGGCUACCCCACCAUUCAAGAAUUGUACAAUGGCCCGUCUAAAACGAUGUAACAAAAAUUUUGUUGUAUGCUCCAUUUGGAUGGGAUAAGAUUUGGUUAGAUGGUCCACCAAAAAUAACAUUUUGAUUCCUUUUCUUAAUAAUAUUUUUUAAUUUAUUGUAAGGACCAAGAAAGUACAAGUUGAUAAAUUCUUAUGAAUUGAUAUUUAGAAUAAAAAAUUAGAAAAAGAGAUGAUUGUGGAAGCAGGCGCCCGGAGUCAUCUUAAUCUAAUACAAUGAAAAUAGAUAAUUAGGAGCUAGAGAUUCGAGCUCGACCCAAUUUAGAUCUAAAAUUUGACUCGAGAUCGGUUCAACUUUAAUAUUCUAGCUCAAAUUCGACUCAAAAAAAAAUAAUAUUUGAGAUUGAUUCUGCCCACCUUAAAUAUCAAUCGGACCAUACACGAGCUUUAAUUUAAGCUCAAAUUCGAACCUUAAUAAUAAUUAAAAAUAUAGUUAAAAUAAAAUAUAACAUAAUAUUAUAUUUUAAAUUAUUAAAUUAAUAAUAUAUUUUAAAUAAAAUAUAAUAUUAUUAAAAAUAUAUAUGCUCGUUUUAAAAAAUUAUUCAAAUCGUUCGGGCUCGAUAACAAUCGAGCCGAGUUAAGCUUGAACUCGAGUCAAACUCAGGAGCUCUCGAUCCGGUCCUUUUACAUCUUUAAUGGGCUAUAUCACUCGCUUUUGGUCCAGGAUUGAGACACCUCAUCUCUCAGCCAGUAAACAAGUGGUUCUUAAUGGAUCUAAUGAUGGAUAGCAGGUCUUUGGAAGAUAGGGAGAGAGACCCAACGUACACAUAGUUGGCAGCAAGUUACCACUAUCCUUAUGCUUGGCUUUGAUUAUGAUACAAAAGGUCCCUGAUACAACUAACUUUUUGGUAUUGAAAUGGACAAUUAAUGAGAAUCUCACUUUUUUUUUCACAUACCAAUCCGAACCAUUCGAAUUAGAUAUGCGAUACGGUUGUAUAUUCGUUGAAGGUUAAUCCAAUGAAAUAUGCAAAGCCUUAAAAAAAAUCAACUAAGAGUAUACAAUUCCACUAAGUUUCAAAACACCUAAGUUUACAAUUCAAAAUAUAGAAGAACUUUUGAUAACUUUGUCUCGUUCAUGCUUAUGCCCCAUGACUGGCAUUAAUCUCUUGUGAUGCUUAUGCCUUGUGACUAGGCAUAAAUUACAUGUCACAAUUCUAGUUUGUGAUGAGCACCAAUCUCGUAUAAGGUUUCUAGUCUAUGAUCAAGCAUCGAUUUCAUGUCAUGCUUACAACUAGAAAUCAAUUUCACGAGGUUGGUUAUCAAAUGCAUGUGCAUGCCAUCAACACAUCUAAGGUGACCACAAUCGGCUAGUAAUUGUUACAAAGAUAGAAUUCAUAAUUCACUUAAAAUAUUAGUUUUUGAAAUGAAGGUUUCAUUUUAUUUUACAACAAUAAAUUCUAUUAUAAAAUCAUAAGGGAAUUCUCCCUAUAGGAAUUAUUAUUUUAAUAUUAUUCUAUUGUGGUAAAUAUAUAAAUAACAAGAAUUAUGAUAUUUGUAAAUAAGAUUAUAUUCCAAAAUUAAAUUUUUUGUUUCAAGGUAAAAUGUAUUUUUAUUAGGUCAAAAAUUAAAAGAUUAUUUGAUGGAGCAAUUUGAUCAAAUAACUUUGUUAUUUUUCUACUAGUGACUAGAACUUCUAAUGUGAUAAUAACUAUUGCUGAAAUUAUUGUUAUUUUAGUCUCAAAAAAUCAUAGUAAAGAUAGAAUUUGAUAGGUAGCAACAUCAUAGCGGCCAAUAGUGGUCUCAAUGGAGACUACAGUGAUAAAAUUGCCAUUCUAAUUUGCUGAGUAGCAGAGGUGUGCUUGAUUUGGGUCCAAAGAAAGCCAAAUGCAAUCAAUUUUGGUCAAUUCUCUUUUUUUUAACAAAAAAUCAGCUUAUAGGCAUCCAUAUCAAUUCAGUGAUUUAAUUGGCAUUCAUUGGAUUUUAGGAUAUUCAAAUAUUUUUUAAAAAAUUAAUGUUUCGAAUCUAAAAAUUCUAUUGAAUACCAACACGAAAAACAUAUACACAUUAACAAAAACUCGGCAUUAAAUACAAAACUAAUACUUCACUUAACUAUAUUAUGUUAAGUGAAUUGGGGUUUUAUCCUAGUGGCUGUAUCACUGUUUAGCAACUAAAAGUUUGGAGCUUGGGUAUUGGAUAAUGCAUCUACAGGAAUCAAAUAAAAAAUGCACUAUAAAUCUUGGAUGGAAUACAUUAAAGAAAGCAAAUUUAAUAUUACUUGACAAAAACAUACGUUUUGUAUGUCUAUGAUAUUACUAAAUCAGUUUUGGAAAGUCUAUAAUAAUAUCUUUCUCAAAAAAGAGAUUAGUAUAUCAUAUAUUAAAUCAUAAGACAAUAUAAGUUAUAUCAUAACAUUUUCACAUAUAAACGUUUAAUAAUAUAGUUUGAUUUUAUCAGCUUAAUAAUAAUAUUAUUAUUUGAUCUGGUUUUGGUUAAAUAAUUUAAAAUAGCAAAAAUAGAAGGAAAAUAACGGCUAUACUAAAUUUCUCUCAAAUAAUAAGGAGUCACAGCUGUAAUAACCGCUCGUGUUGGUCAAUAAUAGCCGAAAUCCUAGACUCCGGCGUCAAGCGCGCUUAUUUUGUUACCACCAGGCCCGAAGCAGUCUUGCUUCCCAACCGCCCGACGGCAGACCAGUGGGAGAUUGAGAGAGAAGCCGAUCGAUGGAGAAGUAUAGAGAGCUGAGGGUGGCGGCGGAGACGGUGGCGGCGGUGGACGCGCACGCUCACAAUCUGGUGGCUCUCGACUCCUCCUUCCCUUUUCUCCGAUGCUUCUCCGAGGCCGAAGGAGCCGCCCUCUCCCUCGCCCCCGAUACCCUCUCCUUCAAGGUUCUCUCUCUUUCUUUUCAUCUUUUCUUUUUCUUUUUUGGAAACGUCAAUCGCAGAUAAUACUGUUGUAGGAGUAUUAACGGGAAAAGAAAAAGAAAGGAAUAUUAUAAAACCCGCCAAAUUGCCUUCUUCUUCUUCUUCUCUCUCUUGUUCUUUUCUUUUCACCAGAUGGACAUUUUUAUCUUCUCUCUUCUUCUUCUUCUCCCAUCCACCCCACAAAUCUGAUGCCAAACAUAUGUUGAAAAGGGGAGAGAAAUUAUCUCAUCCGCGACCGGUGAAAGUUGUUUGAAUAAUUCGGCGAAAGAAGGGCCUUCACCAGCCUUUAUCCCUUUUCCUUCUCUUUUGCCUCCUUCCCUUUCCGGGUCGGCUUGGAAGAGAGCGUGGGCUGGCUGUCUGAUACGCUUGCUCGUGGGGAAACGAGACGCAGCUAAGUCCUAACUUAUCUCAAGCCGAAGUUCUCGGAUCAGACUGUCCAGAUCACUGAUCUCGCAGUCGCAGCCGCCUCGCCUUCUGAGCGUCCUGGAUCGAUGAGGGAGCCUCCGAGGACGACAGAACUUGAAGGAGCUCAUCUGAUGAAGGGCCGCCGCAAUAUUCUUGAGCCCUCAUUUGGACUGUCCGAUCUAUUUCUCGGCCACCAUUCGGAUGUUGGUACGGAAAAUUCACUCUCGAAGAUAAGGCUGGUCGAGGAGGUCCAUCGUUUUUGGACGGUCCGAGCUCCCGAGGGCGGACCUUUCUUGCCGUCGCUGGUCCACCGUCUAAGAAACGUUGGGGAGCAUCCCGCCUUCGGGUGAAUCGUUCUGCUUCUGCUGUUCCAUCGGAGCAUGUUAGACCUCGCCAAGUUCGGCUUUUCUAUCAAACGGUCUGGAGCACAGCAGCAGCGCGAACGGAAGACAGGCGUUUGAGGCGCUUCCUUAUAACUAGGGCUUAGAUAAAGACAGCCGCCACCAAAUCUCACGUUAUAAAGGCUUAGAUAUGGAGAAGUCAUGAGAAUUACCCUUAUAACUAGGGCUGGAAUAGGACGGGGUUGGGUUUCUAUGCAGCCUGCCCCCGGUCCAAAAAAUUUAGGAUUUGGGUUGGGCUGGGCUGUGAACUUUUUUUGAGUACAGAAAACCCCCCGAGGUCUGUAUUUAUUAUAUUUACACCUAAUAGUUUGUAAAACCUGGACUUACAUCCGGUUAAAUUAACGACCUUAUUGUAACCGUUUAUCUCAUGCAACAGUCGAAAUUGCCCUUGAGUGGGAAGGAAGAUACACAUGUUUUUUUAUAUUGUUGACGUUGAGUGAAUGCUAUGUCACUUAAGAUUAUUUUGGUUAUUUUAAAAAAAUUUUUGUCGUAUUAUUUAAAUUCCAUUUAAGGUUAACGAUUUGACUAAUGUUCUAUUAAGCUAUGGUUAAAGUGUUGGAUCUAAGUGCCAUUUACCUCUAAUCUUAUAGAGAUUUUGUAAUUUAUUCUUUUUUUUUCAAACUUCUGGCACAAUCGUGAUUCUAGCCCGACGCCAACCUCAUCUUGAAACCCGAUCAGGCUAGCCUAGAGAGGGAAAAGAGAGAGCAGGGAGGGGAGAGGGACCGAGUGGAGAAAAGAUGGAUGGGUAGAAAGAGCGGAGAGGGUAGCAGGAGAUUGGUGCGGAGGAGAGAGUACUUGAGCCAGGGGGACUGAGGAGUGAGAGAGGGUGGGAUUUUUCUCAGGCCAUGUUUGGGUCUGGUUAUGAGUACGGGCUUCAGGCCAGGCCAAGCAUCAACCCGUGUCCAGCAUGAAUUCCUUUGACUCUAUUUGCAGGUGCAAGUUCAAAUUGCCUCAAGCCUAGCUCAUGGUCCGACACGGUUGCAACCGCGUGACAGGACACGCCCUUCCCCAACACAUGGAGCCUUCCGGCCCCGGCAUGUGCGUAGGAGGGGUCGCCAUUAGGCCGCCGACAAUGGAGCACCACCUUGCACGACAUACUGAAAGGCAACUUGGCACAACAGGCCUUCGGCUGACCAGAGACCAUUUUUAGCCCUACUUAUAGUUGGAGAUGACCCAUGUGGAGUGUUUGGAGAUGUAUCACUUUCCUAAGUUGGAGCUAGCUCUUGCUUCUCCUGUAAUGGAAAUUGAUGUCUAAUAUCUUGGUAUCGUUUCAUUUGAUGUGGAGUGUUUGGAGAUAUAUCCUGAAUAAAAGUGCAUGUGGUAGGCUAGUGUCUUGAUCCAUAGCUUUGCUAGAUCUAAAGUUUUAGGGGCUAAACUCAUAUAAAUUUGACUAAUCUUUGUGGGGUCUAAAUUUGCCUCCAAUUGCAGCUGAUGGUUGUGUAGGCAUUGACAUUUGAAAAAAACAUGCUGCAUAUCCUUUCAGUAGCAUUGCCUGCUUAUCUGUAAUGAACAUUUUAAUUCUUCAGUCAAUAAAUAGAUUUAUUCUGAUAAGGUUCUUCAGUUAACAAGCAUUCGAUCUAACAUACUAAUUGUUCCAUACUGUUAUGAUACAUAGUAAUUGAUACAUGCUGCAGAGGAGCUUGAGGGAUAUUGCUGGACUUUACAAUUGCGAGGCAUCCUUGAAUGCAGUGGAAAACCACAGGAAGUCUGCUGGAUUGCAUUCAAUCAGCUCAAAAUGCUUUGAAGCAGCCAAGAUAUCUGCAGUCUUUAUUGAUGAUGGCAUUCAGUUUGACAAAAUGCAUGACUGGCAAUGGCACAAAUCUUUUGCUCCUGCAGUUGGCAGAAUAUUGAGAAUUGAACACUUGGCUGAAACAAUUCUUAAUGAUGUGAACUCUUCAUCUUUGUUUUUCCCCUUUGAUGUUUCCUUCUAGAAUCAGUUUGCAUGCUCAUUUUUAUGUUGUCAUGCAUAUAAUAUAUUUCUUUACUGUCGAUUAAGUUGCUGUGUACCUUUCUAAUCAAGUUUAUUUAGCUCUGCUGCUUUUAUAAUAUGAUUGAUUAAUCAUCUACAAUCUAAAUGAGUUCUUGUAACGAAGACAAACUUUAUAAUGGCAAACUGUUUUAAGUAUAAUUAUCUGAUGCUUCUAUUGAAGUUCUUUUUCUUUAUAGAAACAAAUUCUUUGUUAUUACUUUCUGCAAUUUGCACAAGCUAAUCUAUUAUAAUUCUACCUAGAUAACCUAAAAAAGAAAUGCUAAAUUGCAUUUUCUUUUUAACUUGCUGUUUUUAUAAAAUUAAUAUAUUUGUUUAAAGUUUACCACAUCUAGUAUGCCUCAGGUUGUCCUAUCUAGUAUAAGGAUUAAGAACCCUGUCCAUCCCUGUGGUACCACAUUCAGGCCUGAGAGAGAUCAGGUCCUGAGAUGCAACUGAGACCUGAGUCUCACCUGAUCAGGUCAUCUUUGUCCAUACCCGGCAGGAAGGACUGUGAUUGUUGCAUCCCGAUACUUGGAAUGGCUUGGGUUCUAGAAACUCCAAUUCAAUGAUUUAUUUUAUUUUUUUCUUUUAAUUCUUGUUUAGUUAUUUAUAUUGGUUGUUCUGGCCAGCCAUAGUUAGUCUCAGUGCCAUCCUUGCGGUGCAUUGACUCUGUGCUGUUUAGCAUGAGCACUGGUACUGGGAUUUAGAUCAAGGUUCGAUGUACCAACUCCUACUGCCCGGUAUUGGAUGUAUAGUACCAUAUCGAUAAGGUAUAGGUAUCGUACUGUGGCUUUAUAUGGCUCUGUACCAACAAUAUGGUACAACUGCUUAUCUCACCUCCAGCAGUAUACCAUGUGCUGGCACGGCGAUGUAUCAUGUCAACCCUUACUGUACUGGCAAGCUACCAUUUUUAUCCUUGCUACAGAUAUAGAGAUCGUUGAUUUAAACUCUUUUGGUAAUUAUAUGUUUAUUGCAAUUGGUAAAGAUGCUGUGAUUCUCAGGCUGAUGUUUGUAUUGUAUGCACAUUUGGUGUGAGGGCAUGUGUCUGUUUAGUCAUUGUUAUCUUCAAGCAUGUUCCUCUAGGAAACAAAAGUUUUCUCAGGAACUUCUAGUAGAAAAUGAAUCCAAUCUACUUUCCUAGAAACAUGGAAACAUGCUGGAGAUGCCUAUAGAAAUAUAUUAAAUGCAGCAGGAAAACCACUGAAAAUAUGGCUAAAUAUAUGGAAUAACAACAUAAAAGACUAGCUACUUGUGCACUUGUUUCCUGGUGGUCCCAAUGGUGUCAUAAGCAUUGCUCUCAUGUACCUCAACAAUUUCCAUAACUUCAUAUAUUUGGGCAUUUUCUGCUACUCGUCACAUGUUUUGGUUUUACAUGUAGACUGCUGUGACCACUUGUAAUCAGUGUAACAACUGCUGACUUUUUUAGUAAUAGUGAAGGCUAUUAUCUAGUUGCUAUUAGAAAAUAAAUAAUGGACUAAGCAUCUCUUUGUCUACUAGCUUCUCCUUGAUUGCCUGCUUUAAGAUGUUAUUGAGGCUUAAAGCUUUUAGGCUUUUUUUCCAAAAGCAGGAUUCAAUUUUUCGACUGUCCUGUUAAUUUGAAAUAAAGUUUGGCUUUAAACGAGUGCUAUUUGCAAAGCCAUAGGUCCCAGGUUUUGUUGAAUAAUAAAGCAAGCUAUCUUCUCACAAGAUGCAUUUAUGCUAAAGUUAAAAUUGUUACAAUUUUAAGAGUUAAAUGCAUUUACCUAAACAAAAAUGAAUUAUAGUUAAAUAAGAUGACACGGUAAUAACUUAGAUAGUAGAGGAACAUCUAUAAUGAUGUCCUUGCAGUCUCUCCAGGUGUAUAGAAUUUGCAUCAAUCCUCUUCUCCUAAGAUCCAAGUAAGCAGCAGCCCAGCUUCAAACAUACAGCCUCAACUUGCCUAGAGUCUCUGAAAGCUGAUGAUGGAGAGAUGAAACAAGUCUUUAAUCUCUGUUUAGAAUCUUUCUAGAAGGAGUUUCAUUUGUGUGUGCAUGUGAGAGAGAGGGAGAGGGCAAAAUGUAUUUUGUGGAUCUUAAUGUAAAAGACAGUGUCCCAUUUUAUUGAAAUCACAGGGAUAUGCUCAAUGGAUAAUGGCAUCUGCUAGAUUUUCGGACUCACACAAUCAAAAUAACUUAUUUGGGAAAGGUACAUCCAUUAGCAAAAAAUCUAACAAAGAAAACAAGAAAGAUAACAGAGUUGCCAAGUCUUCCAUAUACGAGUAAGUGUUUCUGAGAAGAGUCAUGACUGAGAAGUGAAAACCAUUCUGUGAAAGCCCUAUCAUUCAAAAGUUCUAAAUGAUUUAUAACACUAUCUUGAAAGGAGUCCUAUGGCCACUAAGUUUGAGAAGUUCUUGAAUUACAUAGUUUCAAAAACAUUAGUUCCGACAGCUAUGAUAUUCUCAUUAGCAUUUGAUGUAUUACACUUUGAAAAGAGAUUCAAUCAUAGCUGAUCUCUCGCUCAUGCAAGAAAUAAAGAUAAAACUUUAAAAAAAUUUAUUACUCACUAUUAAGCAAUGGUUAGUUGAGUUUAAUGAAAUGUUGGGAGCAUCAGAUAGCAACAGUUUUCCAGAGUAGUUUCAUGUUAUUAUCAUUUUUGGAUAUGCUUUUAAUGCAUUUUUUAAAAUUCAUUUUCUGAUAUAAUUUGCUUAUCUGAUCAAUGUUACAGUAAAUUGUCUUGGUUUUUAAAAAUGCUUACAUUUCAGAAGAAGUUCAGCACAUCAAAAUGGACUGUGGAUUCAUUUACUGAAAUUUUCCUUACAAAGAUGAAAUCAUAUCCUUUACAGUUCAAUGAUGUUUCAUUUGUUCUACCGAUUCAAUUAUACAACUAAGCAAAAUUUCUUGGUUCGAACCCCCACAAAGAAAAUGUUUCAAUGCAUUUCCUUAGUACAACUGCUACAGUUGCUGAUGACAUUGUUGCCAUGAAAAGCAUAGCUGCUUACAGAAGUGGUUUACUAAUUGAUACAGAAGUUACUAAGAUAGCUGCUGAGGAAGGUUUUCUUGAAGACUUAAAUGGUAAGUGCAGAGAGAGGGUGUGUAAGAUGCAGGACUUGUUUAAAUGCCCUGAACUUCUUUUUUUUUAUUUUUAUGGGCUGAAGAUGAUGCUUCUGUUAAAUAUUCUUUUCAGCUGGCAGACCUGUUCGCAUCAAGAAUAAGAGAUUUAUUGAUUAUUUAUUUACACGUAGUUUGGAAGUGGCUGUAUCCUUUGACUUACCUAUGCAAGUUCAUACAGGGUAAUGGACUCAUCCGAAGCUUUCUCAUUUAAGAACUUCUUUCUUAGUACAUAAUGAUUGUUUGGUUCAAUUACACAUCUGCUAGUCACAGGGAUAUGCAAACUUUGUAUUUACAUUUAAAGAUAUAUGUUCCUUCUAACUUUAUGCAAAUUGGGUAAUUUGAAGAUUUAAUUUGUCAGGGCAAUCUAAAGCAAUUUUUCAAACUUCUGGAGUUCUUUCCUUUCAAUUAAUAUUUAUAGAUCAAUUCAUCUUGUUUAGGGUAGGAAUUUAGUCUAAAAAGCAAGGUCGGUGGAACCGUCCCGAAUCGGGCGGUUCCGACUGUUCUUUGCUGUACCGGUGGCUCACCGGUACGAUUCCAACGGCUCACCGGUACGGUUCCGGCAACGGAAACAAGACCCGUUGCAGGAGCCGGAGAAGGAAAGAGAGAGCGAGUGGGGGAGGGAGGGCUGAAGGAGGGUGGCGGACACUGGCAAAGGGCCGGCGGAGGCUGACGGAAGCCAUAGGGGGCUGCGAAGGCCACGGGGAGGCUGGCGGAGGAUGCGGCAGGCGAGGCCGCGGGUUCGAAAUAGGAGAAUCAGCCGUGGCCUCGCUUGCUGCGGCCUCCGCCGGCUCUCUGCCGGUGUCCGCCACCCUCCUCCGGCCCUCCCUCUACUGCUCUCUCUUUCUCUUUUCCUCUCUCCUACGGUGCUGUGCCCUCUCGGUACAGGCUCGGCACGGCCCGUAUUGAGUCGUGCCGCCGGAAAACCGCUAUGGUGCCGGUACUGGUUCCUCCAACCUUGCUGAAAAGUAUUGGCCAUUACAUUUUUCUUAUUCUUUUGCCCAAGCAGAUUAGCAGACAAGCUAUAGCUAUUGCAUCUGAUUACGAGAAGCAAACCAGUCUAACUUUUCUUUAAAUUUCAGUUUUGGAGAUAAGGACUUGGAUUUGAGGCUGGCCAACCCAUUGCAUCUACGUAAAGUUCUUGAGGAUAAGAGAUUUUCUAAAUCUCGGAUUGUUCUUCUACAUGCAUCUUAUCCAUUCUCGAAGGAAGCAUCAUAUCUUGCUUCAGUAUACUCCCAGGUUUGAUCUUUCACAUGUGCACUUUGUCAUAACUUGAAUUUGAUUUUUACAAGUUAUUUAAUGUCUUUGUACAUAGGUCUACCUUGAUUUUGGACUGGCUGUGCCAAAGCUUAGCGUUCAAGGGAUGAUUUCUUCUGUCAAAGAACUUCUAGAGCUAGCACCUAUGAAGAAGGUGAAGUUAUCUUCUUUUUCUAAGCUAUUUUUUUAUUUACAUAUUUUUUUUAUUGAUUGGAUGCUAAAUUAGAUUUUAGGCAUUUGCUUCAAAACAUGUUGCUUAAAUUUUUUUUUUAGCUAUUAAUGCUUUGUUCAACAUCAGAUCCAUGUAUGCAAUCAACGACUAAUCUACACAUCCAUUUUUCUCAUACCUUUUUCAAUUACAAUACACUUGUAACUUAAAUCUGUCUUAAGUUAUCUUGGUCAAACUUCAGGCUUUGCUUUAGCAAGAGGUGCAUGUCUUUUGUGCAUUCCACAAUUUCUUAUUAUGCCUCCAGUAUCCCUCCUUGUUUACUUUGACAAAUUCAGUAGUGCACUGCUGGAUUUUUGGAUUUGGGGGGAAAAAGACAUGCAUCACAGUCAAUAUGUCAAUUGGAUGUCUUACCGUUUGGUUAUGCAUAUAGUUUCUGUAGAUGAUAUUGUUCUCAUAAGAGAUGAUAUGAUAGAGAUAAUUGCUUCAAACUAGUUCUUAUUAAGGAGAUUGAAUAUAAGCAUUUGGUAGUCGGUACAACAACUUGAUUUCCUAGGCUUUGCGGUGGCACACUAGCAAAGGAGGAUGCUUUUUCAAGGAUUUCAGCCUUCUUGGUUGCUGAUAGAUAAAUUGGGCACUAGCAUGAAUAUGUCUUUUUUGGUACAAGCAUGAAUAUGUCUAGGAGACCAGUUGGAUAGUUGUUUUGCUUGACUGAAAUUUAAUUGUCAAGAAUUAUAUUAUACAAUGCAACCAAAACAUCCUAAAGUUUAGGACUAUGCAAUUUCUGUUUUGCAAUCUCUUCCUCUAAUCAGAGCUGCAUAAUUAUCAAGAUAUGCCAGUUGUAGGUUGUCUUGGGCUCAACUUUUUAAGUGCCUAGCUGUAUCUCAGAGCCCAUGCUUGGUCCCUGCCUAGCCCAAUGUUAAACUUAAACAUAAAGUUGGACCAGGCUAAAUAUUUUUUGGGUGGGCUAGGCCCAUUGGCCCAUCCAUAGCUUAAACAAAAUUCCAAAGCGACUAGAUUCUAAAGGCAUGACAAUAGCUAGAUACAGUGUUAACUUAGGAUUACUAAGACUAAUGAGAAAUAGCGGACAAUCUGGGUAUUAGUUGUGCCUGGAUGGUUUUACAUCAUGCAAGGUUGAUAAUGUCUACAUUUUGAUCAUGAAAGAUUUCUUAUGGAUAAUCUCUUUAAGAGAAAAUUCUUAACAUGAACAAUGUAGUUUUAAUGAGAUAACUUGAAUUCCAUCAUUCUAAAACAUUUAAGCAAAGGCCUUUGUGCAUGAAACCUACUUGGACUUCAUACUCUUGAACUUUUGCUUCCAUUGACCUUUUAUAUAAUCAACACUAUAGAUUCAAAAACUACUAAAACGAGAUGAUACGACCAGUACCGUACUAUUCCAGCAUGAAAUUAGUACUGGUAUCGGUACUGGGAUGUUAAAAUAGCUGUUAGUGAUGGCAAUGGGUUAGGCAUAAUUAUGGUAUGCCGUACCGGCCUGAAUCGGACGUACCGUACCGGUUCGGUAUCAGUACCGAUGGCGUACCGAUACUCGAUACGCCAAAACAAAUUUCGUACCGUACCAUACCAUACCAACACUAUACUAGUGUGACACUGGUACGGGGUCUAGUACCGAGACGGCGAACCUUGCGUAUAAUCAAUAGACCAUUAUCCGGACCUGCCUUGCACUUUGGGUAAAACCCAUCCCAUUCAGGUCAGAUUGGGUUGGGUAUCCGAUGGGUGGAGCAAAUUACUAUCCCUAAUAGCUGUAUCAGUAUUGUACCGGCCAUACUGCUCUAUACCAGUCGCACUGGUUGGUACCGAUGGUUUUCCAAUUUUUUGCAAUAUGGUAGUUUUGGUGUAUAUCAUCGGUAUCGAUAUUGUGUGGUACUAUACUAUAUUGAUGGAAAAAUGGUAUGGGGUUUGGUAUGGGCACUUAAAAGCUUUAUUAACAAAUGUUGUAACCAAUGCUUGCAAUGGAUUCCUCCCCCUAACUUGAAUCAUUUAACCCAUAUUGUGUAACAACAUUUGCGGAACAAUUGAUCCACUAGUAUAUGAUAUGGCACUUUGCUGGCCAAAUAUGAUGGACAUUACACAUCUCUAUUAGCCUCCAUUCAACCUAAGUUUAAUGGAAAAUUAUCCAUACGCCUGCCGUGUGUUCUUGAAAAUUGCAUUUGUGUCGUUAAAAAUAAUAAUACCAUAGUGACCACAUAGGUCAGCCUCAAAAUAAAAUUGGCUCUUUAUCUUUAGGAUUCCAGUGCAAAGUUACUUUGAUAUGCCAAGACAUUUUGAAAUUUAUGAUCAAUCAAUUUCAAAAAUAUAAUUAUGGCGCAGAUCUUGUAUUUGUGUGUUUGUAGCACAAAACCUAUUACACACAUUUGAAUUCAACUAGAAACCAGUGAUGCAUCUCCGUUUCAGUCAUCACAUUUGCUUCUUCUACUGAAUAUGACUCUUUUUGUGUGGACAGAGGUCUGCCGUUGUUUGUUAUUCUUGCAAGUUUUUCUUUCUAAUGACAAUAUGGCUUACAGGUGAUGUUCAGCACUGAUGGCUAUGCAUUCCCUGAAACUUUCUAUCUAGGUAUGUUUCAAAGAUUGUUAGUUAUUCUUUCAAGGCUGUCGUAUUUGUUGUUUAAUCUGAUAUUGAUUUUUGCAUAACUUAAAUCCUACAACUGUUAUCGUGCAUAUAAAAAUAACAAUAAGACACAUUAUUAUUCUAAAUGCUCAUGUUUCCUAGAGACAUAUCAAAGUAGUAAGUUAAUAUAUUGUAUCUUUUGCAGACAAAAAAAUAUCCUUUAGAACAACAGCAUCUUGAUAUCGCACUAGGAAAAGGCAUUACGGUCAAUACAUGCUAUCUGUUGAUAAGCUAGUCUUAAUUCUCUGGUUGGUUUUUAGGUUUUAGUUUUAUUAUGCUGUUCAGUUAAUAGACAUCCUUCUAUCUGGUUUGUUUGCUCUUCUAUGUAUUCUUGACUGUUUUAGCAAUCAAUUUGAUCUAUUGGCUCAAGAUCUGCAGGGCUUCAAAAAAUUUCCUUAAAUGACUGAGAUGGACCUUCAAAUAGCUUUAAGAAGUUAUAUUACUUAUAUACCUUGUCAUAACUGGUUAUAAGAGGGUCUAUAAGAAUAACAACAAAUUCUAUUUUAGCAUGUGAUAUGGUGGGAUGUUAUGCGGGAACCUAGGAGGUUCAUGAUUUACUUUAAAUAUUCUAGUGCGGCUUAUUUAAUAAAGAAACUUACCAUAACUAUCUAGCUUUUUACCAAUUAUUUGGGGUUGGCUUUAUGGAUCCUCAUUCACCAAAUAUUCCUAUUUAGGGCCAAGGUCCGCCGUACCGGUACCGGUCGGCGUAUCGGACCGGUCCGUACCGGUCCCGUACCGGUUCUUCAACAAUAAAUUACCGGUACCGGAUUUCACGCUGAUCCGGUACCGGUCCCAGGCCGAACCGAUACGUACCGGCCCGUACCGGCCGGUACGGCUGACCAUGUUUAGGGCCAUAAAUGAUGGUAUAUCACGUUUAUCCAUAUCCUACCUCACAAUCUCCAUCUAUGUUGUAGUUCUUCCGCUUCUUUUCUGACGACCUUUAACACAAACCAAAAUACUUCUUACUGGAGCCUCCUCAGUUCUUUGUUGUUUUAAAGUUUAGAUAAUCUAGAUUCUGGAGUACUUAAUAUUGUUCUAGUACUUUAGGCCAUUGGUUGCAUGCUGUUUGUGCCAUUCUUGUCUUGCCAGAGUAAGUUGUAAAAUCGAUAAAAGCUGAAGACUUUCCCUAUAUGACCAAACAAAUUUGUUAGCAAGUUACAAAUAAUCCAUGAAGAGAUGCAUGCUCAUUUAUCUUCAGUUUUUGGAUUGGUGAUCAAGAUUUUGGGUUCAAGGCAUUUAGCAAUGCUGAUUUGUUAAUAAGGUUCUUUCGUUAAUCCCCACUUGCACUAAGUUAUUUAAAUCUUAAGUUUGUCCACAAUGUUCACAUUAUAUGCUUGUCCAGAUCUCUUUACUUGUGGAAAGCCUAAACCUGGACCAUGAUCAAAUAAUCGAGACCUUUCUUUGAUGAUAAUUUUAGCUCUCUCUGCGUAUGUAUAUCUAUAAACUAGAAGCUCUUCACCAAUCACUUUUUCCACUAACAUGCUUAUUUGGAUCUUUUUUAAUUGUUCAAUUUUUGGGUUGGUGAAGAGCUUUAGUAAGACGCCUUUCCCUGUAUAAGAAAGAAAUUUAUUCAAUUGGUUUAGCUAUAUAUGCUUUAUGAUGCAUUUUUCUUCAUGUAUUAUUUUAGUCAGUAGUCUGGCCAUGUAGCAUAUACAGAGCUUGUAGAUAUGCACUCCUGUGUGUGGUGCAGUCAUCUUGCUGUGACUCCAUAUAGCGUUGGACUGCUCACUUUCCAUUAAAUCUUUGAGUGGAGUAAAUGGUGGAAAAUCCCUGAUGGGUCAAGUGGAAGAUCCUCCAUUAAUUAUUAUCUGCAACAUGAAAAUGCCUUCAAACAAGAAAAUUAUAUGCUUCAAACAAGAAAAUUAUAUGCUUUGGAGGUCUCCUAUCUAUUUAUCAUGCGCUAAAGGAAAUGACAUCUUCAUUUCAACUUCUUGACUUGGGAUUAUAUUGUUAGAAUUCUUGCCUGGGAUCUCAUGUGAGGCUUCAGAGACCUAUUGUUGAUUAGAAAGUAAAUGGUGGAAAAUCCCUGAGGGGUCAAGUGGAAGAUGCUCCAUUAAUUAUUAUCUGCUACAUGAAAAUGCCUUCAAACAGGAAAAUUAUAUGCUUUGGAGGUCUCCUAUCUAUUUAUAAUGCGCUAAAGGAACUUCAUUUCAACUUUCUUGACUUGGGAGUAUAUUGUUAGAAUUCUUGCCAGGGAUCUCAUGUGAGGCUUCAGAGACAUAUUGUUGAUUAGAAUUCACUUGCAGUGAUCUGACCAUUGGAUGGUGCUAGAAUAAAGUUCCUUUUGUUGGGAGUUUCAUCAAGAUUUCAUGGCAGUUCAGCAAUCUGGCUCCUAGCUAGCUCCUGAAAUUUUCUGGAUUUCGGCCACACCUUGGGGCUUCUAAAGCUCUUCUUAAAUUUGCUCCAGCUCUUUUGGUCUAUCAUUAAGUGGUUACCAGUAUAAGGCAAUUCAAAGAAUUUCUUAACUUCAUGCGAAUAGACCAUCUGGCAACUAUUUUGUCAUUCUUCAUUUUUGGAGAUUUUUUCCUCUGCUCCACCACUCUUCUGGAUUUUCUGCAACUCUUUUGGUGGUCCUAGAGAUUUUUUCCUCUGCUCCACCACUCUUCUGGAUUUUCUUCAUCUUUUCUCCUUUGGAUUAAUUUCUGGUUAGGGAAAAAGGGUUUCUAUAAGUGGUCCUCACAGACAUUAAAUUAGUUAUAACUGCCAUCACAUUAUUGUGUGGGGCAUUUAGGCCCCGUUUGGCAAAUCUUUUGGUGGGCUAGAAAGCACUUUCUGGCCCUUCAAAAGCACUUUUGGAUGGUAUAGUGGUGCUUGGUAAAAAAUUGGAAAGCUGUUUUGGCUUUGCCAGAAAGCUAAAAACGUUUAUUUGAAAAAAGUUCUAUUUUGGAGCUUCUCUCCAAAAGUGCUUUCUGGAAUGUCGGAAAGCUAUUUUGGUUUUAAUGAAAUUUUUUUGAUGACGAAAAUGCUCACCAACAAAUCUCAUGAUACGUCCUAUAUUCUAUAAUAUCAUAUCAUAAUAUAUUAUUACAUUAUAAAUAUAAUAUAAUAAUAAUAAUAAAUUAAUAAAAUAUUAUGUUAUAUUAUAUUUUAUUAUUACAUUAUAAUAGAAUAAUAUAGCAAUACAAAAUUAUAAUAUAAUAUAUAAGCAUAAUAUAACAUAUCAAUGCAAUCAUAAUAUUAUAUUAUUAUAAUAAUAAUAGUUUUUUAUGAUGAUAUAAUAUAUUAUUAUUAUAUUAUAAUAUAAUAUUAAUAAUAUAACAAGAUAAUAUAUUAUAUUAUCUUACAUUUAUUAUAUUGUAUUACAUGAUUAUAUUAUUAUAAUAUAAAUAUAUAAUAUAAUAUUAUUAUAUUACAAUAAUGCAAUCUAAUAUAAUAAUAUUAUAAUAAUAAUAUAGUAUUAUUAUAUGACAAUAUAAUCCAUUAUUAGAUUAGAUUCUAAUACAUUAUAUUAUAUUAUAUUGUUAUAUUAUAUUACAAUAUUAUUAUCUAAUAUUAUAUUUUAUAUUGUCAUAAUUAUAAUAAUAUUAUAUAACAUUAUAUUACAUUGUAGUAAUAUUGUACUAUUAAUAAUACAUUAUUAUAUCAUAUCAUAUUAUGUUAUAUUAUCAUGCUAUAGUAUUCAAUAUUAUAUUAUACUAUAUUAUAAUAAUAUUAUACAAAAUAAUAAUAUUUUAAUAUGUAAUAAUAUGUAAUAUUAUAUUGUAUUAUACUCUACUAUGUAAUAUCUUUUAUUGUCAUUUUAUCAUACCAAAAGUACUUUUUCAGUUUGGUUAUUAAACAUAUGUUAAAGCUUUACAGCACUUUAAAAAUGUAAUUACCAAACAGCAAAUAGUUUUUUAUAAAAACUCUACUUUCGGAAAGCUCUAUUUCUGAAAAACUCUAAAAGCUUUAUUACCAAUAGCAAUCCUAAACAGGGCCUUAGACUGUCUACUCCAUUCAUAUCUGUAUGACAAUCUGGCAAUAUUUCCAUAUGUUUACGAGUUGAUUCUUGUUGUACUAAUCUAUGUUUAUUAAUCAUGUAAAAAAAUUAUUCCGUAGGUGCAAAGAAGGCACGUGAAGUUGUUUUUAGUGUUUUAUCAACUGCAUGUGAUGAUGGUGAUCUUACAAUUCCUGAGGCCGUGGAAGCUGUUUGGCGCAUCUUUAGACAAAACACAUUGCAACUUUACAAGCUAAAUGGUAUUGUUGAAUCUCAUGAUCACUUAAGAGCCAUAUCUUUCAACAGCACAUCCAAGGUUGGUUCAUUAGAAGAGAAUUUAGUAUUUGUCCGAAUUAUCUGGGCUGAUGCUUCAGGCCAACACAGAUGUCGUGUAAGUUCGUCUUUCCCUCAAAAAAAAUCAGAGAGACACAUGUAUAUUCUUAUUAGGAUUCUUAACAUGUCUUAUUUUCUUGCAUUAUCUUUCAUUGACAAAACUGAAAAGGUCAAUAAUUGUAAACCAAGAGAACAUACUUCUAGCAACAAAUAAAGAAAUUUUAGAAUAGAAAAAAAUGACUCUUAUAGGGGAGACAUCUAAGAAUUGUUUACAGCAUGGUUAUAUCGUGAAAUAGACCUAAAACUUAAGCUAUUGUUGCUGAUGGAAUGACAUGCAGGGGUACCAAAAUAUUAAUUAGCUUUUCAUCUUUAUGUCACGUGAUGUCUUUAUGGCAUGGAAUUGAGGUCUUUAGUAAUCUUUUGCACUUGGCAGAAUCAAGCAUGCUAAUGUUGAAAUCAUUACAUCAGCAAUCUUAGGGGAGCAAAAUAUUACAAAUCAAUACUGAUAUUGAUGCAUAUGCGUUAGAAAUGCUCAUGUUUAUCAGGUUGUACACAACUUUCUUCUAGGCACUUAUGUAAGUUAUGCAUUCAUUGUUGUGCAUGUACCUAUGUUUGUAUAUAUGUUUAUCUUGUCUAUGCAUAUUUUUUAAUAACCUAGGACCUCAUCCAAAAAGACUAGCUGGAAGGUGCUAUAUUUGGUUUCCUUGGUCCUAUAUAAGUACCCAAGAUCUACUCAGUGCAUAACCGAUAUGGGACUAACACACACCUGUACAAGUACUCACAUACUCUCCUUAUUUAAGCCUUGCAUUUUUGCUUGGCUAAGGGUCUAAAUCAAUUCAAAUCUAUAUACAAGUACCGCAACUCUAAGCACAAAUACCACAAUCAUCUCAUGAUCAGCCUAAAUGAGCCCGUGUUGCAGCGUAUCCUAUUCCACAUGAGCCAUAGGUCGGGUAUCAUAUGUCAUAAUCUAGGAUUUCACCCAAAAAAACUAGUCAAAAGAUGUUAUUUAAGUUCCUUGGUCCUGUAUAGUACCCAAAAUCUAUCCAGUGCAUGACUAUUGUGGGCAAGGUUGGCCGCAUCAGUCAAUACUGUACUAUAUCAGGCGUAUCAUACUAGUACUGAACCAAGACGCAGUCUCGUACUGUACGACACUCGGUAUGCCUUGCUGUCUUGUAUUGUACUGCGCAAGAUUUGCUGUUUCGGUACCCAAACCCCGUAUCGGUGCCAUACUAGCAUAGUGUAGGUACGGUACGAUAUGAAUUUUUUUUAGUGUACUGUGUCAAUACGCCACUCAUGCUGAGUACCGGUAUCCAAGGUUCGCCGUCUCGGUACCGGACCCUGUAUCGGUGCCACACUAGCACAGUGUUGGUAUAUUACGGUACGGAAUUUUUUAGCAUACGAAGUGUCGGUACAUCAUCCGUAUCGGAGAGCGGUACCAAAUAGGUAUGGUAUGGUAUACCCUGUACCGCUCGGUUCGGAUCAGUACGACAUACUAUGCCGGUAUCGAACCAGUACGGUAUGCCACAUACCGUCCGGUUCGGGCCGGAUAGCGUACCGCAUACUGAUGUUGUAAUAGGAUGGUAUCGGUAUGAGCUUUGGUACUGAGAUGACGAACCUUGAUUAUGGGACUAAACAUAUAGCUGCAUGGGUGCUCAUAUAUACGAGGAACCAUGGUUCGUUGUAAUUAUUAGCACUUAGCAUGGGUGUGUCUACAUCUUUCCGAACUUUUGUGAUUUGUGACCUAUAAGUUUUUCUUAUGAUACAUAGAAUUAGACUAAUUGAAACAUCUUGACUUAAAACCAGACCUGACUGCCUCUGGACUUUCAUUUUUCACAACAAUCAAUGCAAAAUAACUAUAACAAUGUAGGAUAGUUGCUUAGAGUACCUUAAACUGCAUGCCUGAAUGGGAUACUAUGAAUUAUUGACCACAUUCUAUACCAUAAUACAGCAUGUACAUGAAUAGCUUUUGAUUUUUCUCUCCACUUUUUCAAUUACAUGAUGCUUGAAAGUUGAGCAAAAAUUUUCAUCUUAUAAACUGAUUAACUUUAUCUAUUGCUUAUUCAGGUUGUCCCAGCAAAGCGUUUUUAUGAAGUUGUUAAGGACAUAGGUGUGGGUUUGACUCAUGCAUCGAUGGGAAUGACUUCAUUUUGUGAUGCUCCAGCAGAUAAGACCAAUCUGACUGGUGUGGGUGAGAUCAGAUUGAUACCAGAUUUAUCAACAAAAUAUAGGAUCCCAUGGUAUAGAUAUUUUUUUCCUUUGACAUGUUUCUACUAUAAAUUAUUUGCCUGUUUCUUUAAAUUUCUUUUUUUAGUUAAUAUUUCUGUCCCUGUCAUUAUUUUUAUUAAAUGCAUUUUCAGACUGAAAGAAUAUUAUUCACGUACUAUCAUUCUGAUGAAUGUUAUGUUGCUGCUAAUCUAUAAGAAUGCCAGCUUGAAACCUGAAUUACAUGAAAACAUGAUUAAGGCCUCGUUUGGGGGAGCUUUUGGAGGGCCAAAAAGUAGUUUCUGGCCCUCCAAAAGUACUUUUGGAUGAAAAAGAGUGUUUGGUAAAAAGUUCAAAAAGUUGUUUUAGCUUUUUUAGAAGACUCAAAAUAGCUUUUUGGAAGAAACUCCAUUUUGGAGCUUUCUGAAAAAGCUAUUUUGAGUUAUCGAAAAGUUAUUUUUUUGACCAAAAUACUCAUAAUAAAAUAUAACAAUUAUAUAUUUUGUCUCUUUAUAAACCUAAAAAUCUGUUGGAGCCCUAACAAGGAAUCCUAGUCGUGGAUCAGGCUCCCUUCUAUGCAAGAAAAGGUAUUCUUGUUUCCUAUUAUUAUUUUAUACCUUUAUUAUUGUCUUAUACUAUAAAUAUAAUAUUAUAUUACAUUAUAUCAUAAUACAUUAAUAUGUUAUGUUAAAUAAUUUAAUAUUAUGUUAUAUUAUGAAAAAUUAAUGUACGCUAAUAAUUAUAAUAUUUUGUACCUUUAUUAUUGUAUUAUACUAUAAAUAUAAUAUUAUAUUAUAUUAUAUCAUAAUACAUUAAUAUGUUAUGUUAAAUAAUUUAAUAUUAUAUUAAAUUAUUAUGCUGUAGUAUACAAUAUUAUAUUACUAUAUUAUAAUAAUAUUAUAUUACAUUACAGUAAUAUUAUACUAUAUCAUAUAUUUAUAUAUUAAUAUAUGUUAUAUUUUAUUAUGCUUUGUUGUAUAAUACUAUGCAAUGUCCUUUAUGGUAAUUUUGUCAUACAAAAGUACUUUCUCAGUUUGUUUACCAAAUACAUGUUAAAAUACCACAACACUUUAGAAAUGUAAUUACUAAACAACAAACAGCUUUUUAUAAAAGCUCUACUUCAGAAAGCUCUACUUCCAACAGCUCUACUUCCAAAAGCUCUACUACCAACAACUCCCCGAAACAGGGCCUAAGCUGUAAUAUUAUGAUCUGAUUUAUGUAUACCGAUAUUACUUGCAUAAUAUUAGGGCAUGUCAUUGCACAUCUAUGUCACAUCUAUGUUACUACACAUGGUUCUAAUAUUAUUGAGUGUGUAAUGAUUCUAAAAUGAUGCUUUUUGAAUGAGAGAUAUUUUGUUAGUCAUUUUAUUCAAAUUCAAAGCUAUCUUUCGGCUUAAUAGGGCAAGACAAGAGGAGAUGGUAUUGGCUGACAUGCACAUAAAGCCUGGUGAAGCUUGGGAAUAUUGUCCAAGAAAUGCCUUACAGAGAGUCACAAAAAUAUUGAAAGAUGAAUAUGAUCUGGUGCAUAUAGAAGCUUUUCAGUCAAAUAUGCACUUUAAUCUUCAUUUUGCUUAUAUUACCCAGUUUUUCUUAAUGUGUAGGUUGUAAAUGCAGGCUUUGAAAAUGAGUUUUAUCUCCUCAAAAAUGUUGUAAGGUAUAUUUUUCAGUUAGUUCUUUUACGCUCAAAUGUUUGCCCUCGUUCUGGGUCUUAGAUCAAAGAACAUGUGCAGAGAAGGGAAAGAACAAUGGGUCCCAUUUGAUAUGGGCCCCUACUGUUCUACUUCAGGAUUUGAUGCUGUAUCUCCUAUUUUACAAGAAGUAAAAUCUGCUCUUGAAUCCAUGGAUAUUUCAGUUGAGCAGGUAACAAUAUAUAUCCAUCAUGUUUAUUUUCUUUUCUUUGCUAAUAAUAUGCUAUGUCUACCUCACAAAUUGUGCUUAUAGCCUUUCAAUUUCAACUGGAUAAGUUAAAUUCUUUGAACUUUAAAGGAUAAAUGGAAUAUUUUCUUGGCAACUCAAGUGCUUUAACUGUCGAGUAAAAUUUGCACUGUGUUGAGGGUUCUUCUGAAGCACGAUUGAAUCAUUUCUAAAUUCUAUCAUGCAUCUUGAUUAAGCCAAUGUUGCUCAACAGCCUGAGUAAAUUUAUCUUGCAGUUCAUUUUGACAAUUGUGAUAUUCCAACCUAAUGAUGAACUCUAGCUACAGAAUAGCCCAGGAUAAGACCUUUUGUUAGGGCACAAAACUAAAUGAAGGAAUCAAUGGGAGUUAUUGGGAAAAAAAUUAUACAAAAUGGUAGUCACCUACGAAGAAAGAAUGACUAUUAUGUUUUGGUUAUAUCAAAAUUUUUUAUUACAAUUAAGAAGCAAAUUCAUGAUUCAUAUGCUAAUACGUCGUUUGUGCGGUUAUGUUGCUUCUGGUUCUUGCUGGUGCUUCUUAAAUCAUAUAGCUUGUAUUCUGAUAAUUCAAUUGUUCUUUGUUAAUAUAUGUGAUCAUUAAUUAUCUUAAUUGAAGCAAUCAUAUUCACUAUCAUCUAUGACAUUUUGUAUAUGCUUGAAGUGUUGUUACCUUUGAUAUUGUAUCUGAAAUGUACCUUUUCUCCCUGGUCACUUAAGGUAGCCUAUUAGUGUUUAUAUAUUUUAUUAAACCUUUGUUGUCAUGACAGCUACAUGCAGAAUCUGGAAAGGGACAGUUUGAAGUAGCAUUGGGGCAUACAACUUCGAAUCUUGCAGCUGAUAAAUUGAUCUAUGCUAGUGAGGCUAUCAAGGCUAUUGCUAGAAAGCAUGGAUUAUUAGCAACCUUUCUUCCAAAGUAAGUUUGUGCUCCCUAUCAUUGUUGAAGGGUAAAGGAAAGAAAUGAUCAAAUUAUAAGGUGAAUCCUGUUCUGACUUUUUAUGCAAUAGGUUCUAGCAUAUCACUAUAUAAGUGAUAAAAAUAAUGUUAAUAUGUUGCAGAUGCUAAGAUAAUGUUAAGGGACCAUGCAAGAUGACAUGGGUAUAAGCAAGAAAGAUUAGAGCAUUGUUUGAGGAAAAUGUAAAAUUCAAAUUGAAGGUAAUGCAAAGAACCAGAGAUGUAAUCAGUAGCAGACUGAAUUGUAUUAUCUGGAGUCUGGACAUAUGACACUGAUGUCGAGUGUUAGCGUCCAGAAAUGUUUGGAUAGGGGAUCUUUCAAAAGAUCGGACAUUGUGACAUGCCCAUAUUAUAUUAGAUGUGUCCUUAAGAAUGUAUAAAUAAAUGUAUAAAAUAAAUAUAUAUUUUUUGGAUCAACUGCUUUGUAAUUUCAUAGAAUUCAUAAAACCUUGUCCUUGUCAAAUGUUAUAUUAGACUUGAAAAAUUAAUAGGUAUAGGUGCCUGUAUUCUGAAAUUUCCGAUGGUAGAUUUCCAAAUUAUAACUACUAAUCUUGGCAUCUUCUUUUCAUCUCUUGCUAUUCCCAUAGGUACUACUUGGAUGAUAUUGGCUCUGGAUGCCACGUGCAUUUAAGUUUGUGGCAGAAUGGCAAGAAUGUUUUCAUGGGAUCCGAGGUACCGACUACUCAAUAUGGAAUGUCAAAAGUUGGGGAACAGUUCAUGGCAGGAGUUUACUAUCAUCUUCCUUCAAUCUUAGCAUUUACAGCUCCACUUCCAAAUAGGUGACAUUUCCCUUAUUCAAUGAUUUUCUUAACCAGGGAUGAUAUAUUUUUAGUAAUACGAAUAAUUGAUGUCACAGUUGUAUGGUGAUAUACUUAAGUGCUUGUCGAGCCUCUAUGAGCUGUUCUUUACUGCUAUUGAAGAUUACAUCUUUGAAAUAUAUUUCUAUACACUAUUUAUUUUUGUAUUACUAUUUCUAUUUAGAGCAAAAAAUGAUUGGCGAUUGGUUGAUAAGCAAUGGGCAGUGCUUUAGUUGGUCCGUCAAGCAUUGAUUGCAUUCGUUACGCAUUCAUCGUGAAAGUAAAAGUUGACUUCGUAAGGCUAUUUAGUUAAUGUGUAGAUUACUUGAGGAAUUAAAAACAGUCCCUACGAUUAUUAAAGAUAACUAUAAGGAAAAAGAAUAACUAAAAGAUAAAAUGCAAUUUAAGAAAAGAUAACUGAAGGAUAAAGUUAUUAUUUAUAAGAGGCAAAAAGACCUUAAAGCAUCUGGAUUGUGGGUUGGAUGGGUUGUUGGGAGGGGGUACAAAAGAUAAUAGUUUUCUAAUUUCUUUUCCAAGAUUAUUUUCUUAUUUUCUUUUUAUAUAUAAAGGGAAGGAAGAUCAUGCUUGUGAAAAUUUCCAGGUCCAAAUUAUUGAGUAGGCAUAUUCCAAUAAUUGGACCAAGAAUCUCCUCCAAACAAAGGAGAUGUAUGACCAUUGGGGAUUGCCCGGUGCAACCAAUGUGUUCACUUGCUACUUUUAUGUCUACUUACUACCAACUUUCCGACAUAAUCUCCAAUUGCCAUGUACCCUCUCUAAACAUUUCCUUAUUUAAUCUUCAUGGACCACAUAUAUUUGUCCAUCGCUCCUUACCACAUAUUUAGGGGAAAUAACGUGCUUUGAACAAUUCUCAACUUCUAUGAUCUUUCUAAUAAAAUUUUAUGCUAGGUUACACCCAUGCAUGCGAUGUAAGCCACUCUUGUUGCCUCUCUUAAAGACUCUUUGGAUUGAGAUGUUUAUCAGUCAAUGUCUUAGAAUUAAAGAAAACAUUUCGUUUUGCUUCAUGAGCCUUCUAGGUGUUAUCUAAAUUAUGAACCUUUUUUUUUUUGCAUAUGGGCUCUCAAAAGUUUUGAUUUGCGCGCAUGAUUCUGUAAUUAUGCAUUUUGCCUGUAAGCCAGUUCAUAUAUAUGCACUAAUUCUCUUUCCAUUUGCUACCAUUAGUGGUUGUCAGCCAAACAGUGAACAGAAUCAUCUUAUCAUGGUUAAAGGUUAAGUUUGAAUGGUAUGUUGGAGAUGGUAUGUGUCAUUUUGCCAGUAAAGCUAGUUUAGCAGCUAGUUAACCACAAGGGCAUUUGUGCAAAAUAAAAAAUAUUUGAAAAGGUAAUUAUGCCGAAGGCAAAGUUCCAGGGCCAUCAUGCAAAAUUGAAACUCCCGUGGUUAAACAUGCAAAAAUUCAUAUAGUCCUGAAUGGGAAUGCUUGAUGAAUGAAAAUCCAUGUAGCCGAGCCCAUAUAGUUGGACCAAGGCCUGAUGGUUAUGGUUAUGACGGACUUUUAUUGUUGUUUAAAAUUUAAAUUGGUGGUGGUGCCUUCUUAUAAUUGCUUCUAUACUGAAUUGAAACCUUCUUUUCAUGUUUGUCAUAGCACAUUGUUCAUUGUAAGAAGUGUUAGGGGUGUAAAGGGGGGCCACAAAUCUUUAGUCCUAUACUGCUUGAGUAGUGGAAAGGAUUGUGCUUAUAAGGGGUCUCCAUUCCCUUUCUCUUGUGAGAUGCCGUUUGGACAAAGCCAUGAGGGAUAUCUUCCGUCCUGGAAAGGCAGGGGGACUCUCCAAAGCGGACAAUACCUUGUGACGGGACGCAACCCCUUUUUCUGCUCUAACAGAUAGGGCGCCCUGAGUGCGUGGACCUCCUCCCGCACAAUCCGUUCCACUCGGGGGGAUAGUGUUAGGGGUGUAAAGGAGGACCACAAACCUUUAGUCCCAUAUUGCUUGAGUAGUGGAAAGGAUUGUGCUUAUAAGAGGUCUCCAUCCCCUUUUCCUUGCGAGGCGCCUUUUGGACAAAGCUGUGAGGGGUAUCUCCCAUCCUGGAAAGGCGGGGGGGACUUUCCAAAGCGGACGAUACCUCGUGACGGGACGCAACCCCUUUUCCUGCUCUAACAAGAAGCAUCACGAAAAUUGCUUAUAUAUCUUUUAAUAAAGGCGAAACAAGAUAAAAGUACAUUAGAGACCAAAUUUCUAUGAGUAAAGCUGAUCUUCAACAAGUAUAUAUGAAAUUAGGGCAUAAGCAAAAAAAUAUGAUGGGUAGAAGGAAAUUCUACUUGAUCAAAGCACUAACAAAUGAAAAUUAGAAGCUCAUUACAUUAGGCUCAUCCAAUAGGUAUGUGGUAAGAUAGCAAACCUCAAUGUAUCAUCGACAUAACUUCUUCCAUCUUGAAUUAUAUUUCCCAACAAUGUUAAGUCCAUUUUAUAUGGCGUGAUCUUUUAUUUUUGGUCACCAACUUGAAUGAAGCCAUCAACAAGGGCAUGAUGAACUAAGAACUUAGGAGAAUUUUAAAGGAUAAGGUUCUAACUGUGCAAUUAGAUAAUUUGCAUAUAAUGUUAGUGGUUAACAUCUACAUGUCAAGGUUGAGGUAGAAUGACAAUUACAUGAUACCUUCAGCUUCUUUUGAUUACAUUAGAUCUAUUUUUCUAAGUAUAUGAUCAUGGGACAAUAUGAAAAUAUUUAACGUAGCAAUAUUUUAGAGCAGCAAGUACAAAAAUUGAUUUCAAGUGGCAUCAUGUGAUAAUGUUUCUUAGUACCAGACCUUGUACUUGUAAGAUACUGGUAUGGAUUAGUAUGAUACGGUAGACCCCUAUACCAAGUACCAACACAUGGUACAAUGUUGGAGUCAGUACAAAACCUGUAUCAUGUGUUGCUAUAGCAUAUGCUAAACCUCCAGCUGUACCAGUACCAUACUGAGUUGGUAUGGUAUUCCCCGUGUCUGCUAGCAUUGGUCAAUGCUUAAAACCUUGUUGUAUGAUACUUCAAAUAGGGGUUUCCGCCAGAGUCUAUGAUGCAUCUUUGAAGAAUUUUCUGUUUUUACAAGUCCUGCGUGGAGACUUUAUAUAUAACAAGACUUGCUCGUCUGUUCAUUAUUUACUAAUUUUCUCAUGUUUCAGGCUUUCUGUUAUCAUUAUUUACUAUUUUUCAAUUAACCUUUCAACUCUGACUGGAUCCAUGGACAGUUGUCCGUGAUUUGUUUAGAGCACAUUUUCGUUAUGUCAUAUAUGUCCAUGAGAUUGUGAGCACAACAUACAUAGUAUGUUAUGUAUGUGAAUGUUUAAAGUGUGAGUUUGUGCACACUUCUAUUAGAAGCAUAAUAUACAAUUUACUCCAUGUAAUUAUGGUUUGCAGACUGUGUUGAGAAUAAUUUGAGUCUGCAUAUGUGUAUUUUGUUUGUUUAUAUGGCACCAAAUGCUUUUAUGGGGUAAUUUUAUUUUAAAUGUAACCUUCUUGGAAGAUUAUAUCAAACAGGAGUUGUAUAUGGUAAUUUUGGUGGAUAUUAGAUUGCCUUGUAUUGCAUGCUUUUGAAUUUCAAAAUUUGUUGAUUUUCUUUAUGCUGGGGUAUGUUGUAUUACAUAGUUUAUUCUGAUGCUUUAAAUAAUUUGAAUGUGUUUUAUGUAGUUAUGACCGGAUUCAACCAGAUACAUGGAGUGGAGCAUAUCUUUGCUGGGGAAAAGAAAACAGAGAAGCUCCAUUGAGGACUGCAUGCCCCCCUGGUGUGCCUAAUGGGCUUGUAAGCAACUUUGAAAUCAAGUCCUUAGAUGGGUGUGCAAACCCUCACUUGGGUCUAGCUUCAAUAGUUGCUGCUGGGAUUGAUGGCAUUCGGAGAAGUCUUACCUUGCCUGAGCCUAUUGGUAUGAGUUUAUCACAAUGCAUACCCAAAAAAAUAUUGUGUUGAGACCAAAAUUAUCUUGUGACAGUGACUCUCUCUCGAUACACAUGACAAAAAAAGUGGCCAUUGUCUCAUAUUAAUCAUAAAGCAUACAAUUUUCUUUGUCCUGCUUACAAUAAGAUUACCAUAUGCAUUUCAUGCAUCCUAAAGAAAUUUGAAUACUGUUACUCAAACCAAACCGCUCUCUUGAUCCUAAAAGUGUUUUAGGGUUUUCAAUGACGAUCUUUACUAGUAAGAAUCCUAUUCAACUAUUAUGGAUAUGCGCUCAUGAGCAUGCGUUAGCAAGGAGAAUGUCCACUGGAACUUCUCUCUGUCGUUCUCUCUCUCUCUCUCUUCAUGGGUACACCCCAUAAGGGCCUCCCCUCAACCCUAACAUCAAGUAUGGAUUCUCAGCUAUAUGUUUCUUCCAGCUCCCCACCCAUGGUGUGGCUUGCAAGCAGCAGCAGCAGCAACAGCUGAGCCUCUCCGCAGUCUGUGGCAUACAGCAGGGAAGCAGGCUGCAAGUUUACUGCCUCCCAGCCUCAGAUGGAACCAUUUCAGCCAGAAAAGAUAAUAACAGUAGAUGAAAUGAUCAGGAGAAAAAAGAGUAAAAUAAAACAUUGGUCUCAGAUUUUUCUUCUUAAAUAAGAAACUUGAAACUAUGUGAGAGUGGUGAAGCCAGUACUAUAAAAGUAGCUGAAAGCCAGGUAUAACACACGAUGGAAAAGCAUACUGUGCACCUUGGUGGCACAUGCAGGUGCAAUUUUCUUUUACAAUAAAAAUAGCAUAUACAGGAAUUUGGGGUCACUUGGUGCAUUGAUUUAUUGCAUUAGUCUCAUCUUUCAACUCCAGUCAGUCCUCUAGUCAAAUUGUGCUUCACCUAGACAAACCCUCCCUAGAGUUUCUCCCACACUUCUAAAAUAAGACUACUUUGAUGCGACCAAGAUAGGAUGGCUCCUACUACUAACAGGUUUAAACCUUUGGGCAUGGCCCCAGGAUUUCUUGUCCUACAAGGAGUAGUGGCUGGACUAUAAUGAAAUGUGGACCUAAAAAGUCAUGCCUCACAAUGUGAGAUGUACGCAUUGGGCAUUCUCAUAGGUCUGGGGUCAUAAAUAGCAUCCAGAAAUCAUCCAAGUUUGUCCAAAAUGUUUGAAAUAAGAUGGUUCACAUAUAAUUGAACAAUCAUUUGCACUCGGGUUCCUUCAUUAUAAAAACAUGUAGCAUCGGUCCUUGAUAAUCUGUUGUGAACCUUAUCUAACUUGGCCAAAAUAUCUUAUGUUUAUGUUAAUCAGAUACCGAGGUUUGAUUAUAUACUAGAGAAACCAAGGUUUGUCAUCUCGGUAUCAGACCCUAUAUUGGUACCAUGUUGGUAUUGUGUCGAUACGCUUGGUACAGAGGUCGGUUCGGGGUAUUGAGAUUUGAUAUGCCCUCUGUAUCAAGUAUCAAUUCGGUACUGGUGUGGUGCAUCAUGCCUGAUCUACUAGUAUGGCAAACCUUGGGAGAAAUAGUGGAUAAUCAUAAUAAUUUGUUUCCAAGGUUUGUUUAGACAUUCUAGACACACUGUCUAAGAAAAAUGUUGUAUAGUACAAAUAUGCGCCAUCUUUUACCCCUUUAAGAAUCCAGUCAGAGUACAUCUGUUAAAUUAUUAUUUUUUUAGAGAAGGAUAUAAAAAUUUUAUUUUUCUAAGCAAGGUUUGCUAUACUAGUGCAUACCUUCCUAUAUUGGUUCGGUGUACUGAGGCUUGAUAUGAGGCCUGAGUCUCAGUACACCGAACCAACCCCCAUACUAGCAAUACCAAUACAAUACGACAUGGUGUUGGUACGGGUUUCAAUACUGAGAUCGGAAAUCUUGGCUCUAAGCAUUCCGAAUUACUGAUAGAGCUUCACUACUUGAAUAUAUUUGAGGAUGGUAAUGUUAUCAUUCUCAUUUGACAACUAGCCAAUAUUAGAUUUUGAUUAUUUUAUCAAUUAUUUUGACUAUUUUAUCAAUUAUUUUGACUUAUUUAAAAAUUAUCCAUAGUUAGGUCAUGGAUACCUUAUUGAACGAUCUUGCAAACCAAGUGGGCCAAUUCAAACAUCAUGACUUGCUGCAUGCAGCCUAGCCAUCAAAGUGUCAUUGGCUAAAACUGGCACCCAAGAAUCCCUCAGGUUGACAACUUGGUAACCACAAUCAUUUAGAUUAGGUGCCACAUCUUACUCCUACAACCACUUCCUAAACAUGCUUAACUUUUUUGAUAGUGUUGUCAACUUCCUCGCUCUCCCAUGCCUGCUUCAGUUCUACUAUCACACUCAUCUUAACUCCAAUAACUAAGGUCAACAGCAUGCUGAGGACCAUACACGAGAACUUAAUCUUUCCUGAUAGUGUGGUUUCAACCAAACUUGCUCUCAACUCUGGUUAAUGUGUUACAAAGCUUCCAAGUGGUGGUGCAGCUUUCUAAUCUGGCAACUGGACAUUCAUUACCAUCUUAUCUCAUCACCAUAAACAGCAACAGACGAGACUCCCAAUUCUCUCUAGUGAGGAUAGAAUUAAGGAACAGCAAAAUGUUCUCUUAUGAAUUCACAAUUCGAUCAAGAGGGUAUCCUAUAAUGCUCGUCUUAUGCUAGCGUGUCAUUCAAUUAAUUAACAUCUAAUUGCUAAAUCAUCCUAUUGGUACCAUAUAAAUGUCUCAAGCAACAAAUGGUUGUUGGCUUUUCUAGGGUAUUGUCUUCAACAGUGAUGAAAUAUAUUGGGUAUACAUGCAUACAAUAUGACAAGAUACAAGCAGGUCUCUGAAAACUUGUUUUCUUGCACGCCCACAUUCUAUUUUUGAUACUGUUUUUGCAAAUUUAUGUUACAUAUUCCUAAGAGAUGUUGCAUACUUUCAUGAGUACUUCUAGUUUCUAUUAUACUUUAUUUGUUUAGCUAAGUUUGCAUGAUCACAUUUACUAGUAGUUUACAUUUUCUUGGAUUUACUAACCAUUUGUCGUUUGAGUUUCAAGAGGAUAUAGCUAGUGAACAUUAUUUUCUGUUUAACACUUAGUAAUUAAGAGGCCCAGCAUGAGAAUUUUUUCUAAAUUAUUUUAUGGCUUGUUCUACUCUUGUCAGUGCUUGUGUCUUCAAAUUUUUGAAGUUGUGAUUUCAUUUCCAUGAUAGAAGCCUCAUAUUAGAUAUGUUGAGUUAAGAACCACCUCUUUUAUUGCAUGUGGUGGAGAAAAAAGGGUAUCAUAACCUGAAAAAUGGUAAAACUACAUUCCUCUUAGACUAACAAAUUGUUUGUACUUGCAGAUGUUUUUUUCAUAAACUUAGUGAACAUUAAUUUUUGACUUUUAUGUCUCUCUCUUAUGCAACCUCAAACAUUACAUUUAUUGUCAGUUCAAAAGGAGAAUGACAAUAGGACUAUCUUAUUAACUGACAAAUUUCUUUUUUUACUGAUGGAACAGAAACGAAUCCUUCUUUUCAUGGUUCAAAACUUAGAAGGUUGCCAAAAGAAUUGGGUGAAUCUAUAGAAGCACUUUCUGGGGAUGAGAUUUUGAAUAAAUUAGUCGGUGAAAAACUUGUAACUGCUGUUAUUGGGAUUCGCAAGGUAAGCUCUUGGAAGUAUUUUCCUUCAUCUAUUAAUAAGCUUUUCAAGCCAAGUAUUAAUCAGUUUAAUGUAGUCAGACUUAUAAACUAACUCAAAAAUUAGCAGACAUUGCACAAUGUAAUGCUAUUCUUACAUGAACGUAUAUCAAUGUUAGACAUUUGUCCAAAAAAAUUAGUCAUUUUGCUUUAAUUGAUCCCAAAAUAAUCAUAUAUUUGUAACAAACAUAAAAGUUCUGUCAUGGAUCAUAAAGAGAUGUGCUCUGUGUAGGACUAGGUGGCAUGAGAUUUAGCUUGGAUUGGUGUUUGGAGAGGUCCUAAAGGAAAUCUCAUAUGGGGAUAAUUAAGAUUUGAUGAGACCCACAGUUACAUGGUUCAAUUGAUUGCUUGUUUUGGUUGGAUUUGAGAUUUGAGUUUCAAUUUUUGAUAAAUCCAAGUUCAUGAUGGGGUGAGCAAGUAUUCUUCCAUUCUAUUGGCUUAUUUCUUAUAACUUUUUUGUUCCAUAGAGGAAAGAGGAGGGGGGGGGGGGGGAGGGGAGGGAGGAGGGGAGAGAGAGAGAGAGANNNNNNNNNNNNNNNNNNNNGGGAGGGAGAGGGGGAGGAGAGAGAGAGAGAUUGUCUAUUGCCCUAGCUGGAAGAUUCAUGGUCCGUCAUGUACACAGAAAAUCAGCACGAACAAUCAUAACAUACAACACCCGUAAUGGUCAGAAACAAAAUUUUGAAGUUUUGCAGGUUUUUAACCAUCCAUCAAGUAAUCACAAUUCACAUUUUUUAGUUACAGUAUUAGUCAUCGUGUCAAACUUAUGGUAGGCUAUAUAAUUAAGGAUCCCAAGGGCUUACUUGUUCCUCACAUUUCUGUCAUUUUGAGUGUUUCCAAACCAUAAAUCAUAUCAAAACAUUUCUUUACCAUUGGAAAAAUGGCUUGCGGAAAUUAGUGCAUAGGAAAGUAACCGCAGAACAUUGUUUUAUUUUUUAAAAAAUAUUUUUUAAAUCUUUGGAGUUUGGACUAUAAGUAAUGGUAUGGUUUAUUUAUCCAGCAGGCACAGCAUAUAUUUUCAUCAAGUUGGAGGCUUUAACUUUUUUCCAUAGAUUUGUAGAUCUGUCUUCUCUCAUUCUUUUUCUAUGUUUUCCUAUCAUCUUAUAAUUCAUAGCCAGUAUUAGGUUUUAUAGAAUGCAUUCAAAAUAAGGUGAAUUGAGUGGUGAGUGGCCAAUAUCCCCGUAGGAUGGCCUUACAUGAAGUUAUGAGUUUCAAAGUUGCCAUGGUAAUCAUGUUGCUCUUUAUUUAGAACUCUGUGAUAAGCAUCAAUUAUGAGACUGGAUUUUGGACAAUUAUUACCAUUUCAACUAGCAUGCUUCUAAUUAUUAGGAAAAAAGACAACAUGCCCUUUGUUGUUUUCUGUCAUAGUGUGCAUCUUUUCUGGACUACUCCAGUAACAUUGAAACCGUUCCCAACCCAACAAGUUCUUUUCUUAAGUUGUGUUAGUACAACAUCUUCCUUCAAAUAUCCAUACAGAAAUCAAACAGUCCAUUUAUUACAGGCCCACCUCUUUGUAAUGACUCAGUUAGUUAAUGCUGACAUUAACUGGAGGAUGUUAUCUGGAAUAUGAUGAACUUAGAAAAAAAAGUAUGCUUCUGAAUAAUAGAGAUGUGACGGACUUCAAAAAUACAACCAUAAAUUUCACUGCAAGUACCAUUUAUAUUUCCUGGACCUUUACCUAAAGCCCCCUCUGACACUUAAACAUAGGUUUUUAAGAAGAAACUUUUCGAUAUUUAAAAGAUCCACACUAUUUUGAGGAACACAAGAUUUCUCGUAGAAACUCAAAAUCAAACUAAAAAUAGUGCAACAAUGAAUUUAUCACUGUGAUGAUAAAUUUGAUACACGUACUGAUAAAGAUGUCCUAUCUUCCAAGAUUGUGCUCUCUCUCUCUCUCUCUCUCUC
rnacentral:lncRNA from 1 species